rnacentral:lncRNA from 1 species
AGGAUUUAGGGUUUAGGUAGUAGGAAAGGUUUAGCGUUUGGUUUAGGUUGAAUUUAGGGUUUGGCUUAGAAUAAUGAUUAGGAUUAUAGGGUUUUGGAUUUGUUUGUUUUUUUGUUUAUGCAUUUCGUGCUGAACUUAUUGGAUAAAAUUUUAUAUUAAUAUUAUUGAUUCAUAAUUUUUUCUAAAAUGUUAAAAAUUUUAACAUGAUUUUUAAUGUUCUUAAAACAAAGUAUGUAUUUUUUUAUUAAGUUUUUGUGACAAUAAGUUGAAUAUAUCUUAGACCACAAAUCAUAAAUAUUCUGAGUCUUAUAUAUUUUGUUCUUCAAGUUAUUGUAACUUUUAUUUUCUUUUAUACAUUUCUCUUAAUAUUUAUCUAUGCAUCCUUAAUAUUUUUUUAAAAUGAUUUUUCAUUAACUAAUGUAUUUAUUGUAGUUUUAAAUAUAUUAUAGUUUUCGUGCAAUUGAUUAAAUUGUUUUGGCGUUGGUGGUAUUUGAAGUGGUUGAGAACCUGAAUGGAUAUUUACUUUAAUAAAGUUUUUGGUGUAUGUUUAAAAAUAAAAAUUUGUAAAGGUUUUUGAAAUCGUAUGAAUAUAAUAUUCAACACACUACUGGUGACUGUUUAUAUACUUAAAAUUCUGACGUAUGUAAUUGCAAAUUUACUGAAUUCAUAGCUUUGUUGCUACUUUAUAAAUUAUCACAGGAUGAUGUACAUAUGGUAAAUAUUGCUUUGAUGAUAAUAUAACGUCUGUAUCGUAAUGUGUGUUUUUUUUUGUUUUAUUUACUAUGUAUUAAGAAAUAAUUAACACAUUCAAUAAUAUUAAAGACUAAAAUGCUCUGUCAAUUGUUCAUAAUAUAAGCCUAAAAUUAAAUUCAAGUUCAGCCAAAGAAAUAAAACCCAAAGACACGUGUCGACCUGUCAGAGAGUAACUUUCCACGUGGAUAACUUAGAAGAGAGGCAAACAUAAUUUAUAUAUAUAGAUAUAUGCAGAUUUUGUCAGCUUCGGAAAACAUAGAGCAAUCGUCUGUUAUAGGCUAACGUAUUUACCACUUGGGCCGAACUCCAAAUUCAUAUUGGCGAAAUAGUAAUAAUUUAAUUCGUGUGAAUAGUCCAAUUUAUGACUAACAUGGAUACAUACAAAACCCUAAAAAAUUACCACUAUACUAUGACAACUUAGGAGGUGUUAUUGGUUUAUGUAUUUUUAUUGAUUUAGAAAUACAAAUUUUCAAAUUUUCUCGGAUUAGUAUUUACAAAUUCGGAGGUUUUCCUUCGGAUUUGGGCCUUUGUAUUUUUCACAAAGAAAUCCAUGCAAAUCCAUUCAAAUACAUUAUGAAAUCAAAUAUAUUAGUAAAUCCGUAUGAUUGAAUAACACUUGAUUUGAAUUAGAAUUUAUGAAUCAUUAAACGAAUAACACUUGAUUUGAAUUAGAAUUUAUGAAUCAUUAAACGAAUAACACAUGAUUUCAAUAUAUAUUUUAAAAUUAUAGAACCAAUAACACUAGAUUUAGUUUGGAUUUUAAAAUCCAUCAAAAUACACCAACCAAUAACCCCCACUUAGUUAACUAGAAACUGUCCUAAAGUUCUUAAGCAUAUAAACAGGUACGUUAGACCAUGUAUAUAUCUUGGCCUUGAUUGGUAACAUCAAUAACUGCGGAUUGGAAAAAUUAAUUAAAAUGUGGAAAAUUUAAAUCUGUUUAAUGAAAACGUAUAAAAUAUUUUUGUAUGAUUGGAAUAUUUUUCAGAAUGGUAGAAUAUAAAUUAUAUUAAAACUAAAUUUUGAUAUAUUAUUUAAUCAAUUAAUAAAUAUUAGUAACUACAACGUUAUUAUAAUAUAAAAUUAAUAAACAUUAAUAAUUAAAAUAAUUAUUAUAAUACAUAAAUUAUCAUAGAAUUAACUAAUAUGAAAAUAAUAUUUAGUACUCCCUCCGUUUUUUAAUAUAAGUAGUUUUACUGCUAUGCACAUAGAUUAAGAAUAUCAUUAAUUUCUUAUAUUUUCUAAACAAAAAUAGCAUUAAUUAUUUACCUAACCACAAUUCAACCAAUAUAAAAAUAGAAGAUAUAUUAUCAUUGGUCAGACAACAUCCCCUAUAUAUUAUUUGAGAAGCAUUACAAUAUUUUUUUGUAGUCACGUGUCAUCACUAGAAUGAUUCUUAGAAUUCUUAGAGAAAUAUGUUGGUCCAUAUAAAUAUAUAAUAAAUUUUUUAUUAAACUAACCAUAAGUACACUAUUAAUGUUCUUCAUUAUUUCCUGAAAUAAAAUCACGGAAUUUCUUAAUAUGGCUAAAGUAUAUAUGAAAAUUAAUGAUUUUGAAUGAUAAAGAUUUGAUAAAAAUAAGUGUAUAUUAUAUUAUAUUUGUUUAAUUUUAAACUAUAAAAAUAAAUUAAACAACCAUAGUAACCAUAUAAUAAACAUUAAAAAAUUCUUUAUAUGUUAUAUUUGUGGUCCAUGGUUUAAAUUUUUUGUUAUGAUAUGAUACAAAUGAUUAAGAAAUCAUAUAAGUUGAAGUCUCAUUUAAUAAGUAUUAAAAAUAAAAGAUAUAUAUAUAUAUAUAUAUAUAUUUAUAUAUAUAUCAUUUUAAGUUAAUUUAUAUGCCAUAUAAAAAAUACAUAAAUAUCUUAAUUUUGAAAUUUAGUUUGAUCAAUUUUUAAUAAAAAAUUUGAAAAUAUAUUGACAACUUAAUUUUUUAAAAUAUUAUAAAUUACUUAACCUAUUAAUCCUACAGUGAAAAUUUUGUUAUCAGUAAUUUUAAUUUUUUGCUAUAACAUAUACAAAUGAUAAGAAAAACAUAUGAGCGAAAAACAUCUCAUAAAUAUUAAUUUUAAAUAUACUAUAUAUAUGUUACUAUCAUUUAAAUUUAAUUAUAUACCAUAUCAAAUAGAAAAAAAUAUUUUUUGGAUUAAUAAAAUUUAUAUAUAUAUUCGUACCAAUUUAAUUAUAUAAGUAUUAGUUACUAUAUUUUAAUUUAUUUAAUAUAUCUUUGUUAUUUCAUAAUAUGUUAGAAACAUAUAAUAUAUAUGAAAUAAUUUAUAUAUAUAACGUUUAUCCCGCGCAAGGCACAGAUCUUAACCUAGUUAAUUAUUAAUAGAUGUUACAUAGAAAACCAAAAACGACAUAUAAUUUGGAACAAAAAAAUUUCUCUAAAACGACUUAUAUUGAAAAACGGAGUGAGUAGCUUACAAUAUUCAUUAUUAUAUAAUUAAAUAUAAUGAAAAUUUGAUUUUACAAGCAAUCUAAUAAAACCUUAAUUUUCACUUAAUGAUUUUUUUUUGUAUUUUGUCAGCGAAAACACAAAAAAUUUCUUUUUUAUUUUAUUUCACAAUUUUUCUAAUUUGAAAUUUUUUCAUGGAGUCACGUUUUUAGAUGUAAUUAAUUUCAUCAGUCCACAUUUUACCAAUCAUAUCCCUUAAUAAAUUUAUAUUUUGGCCAUUUGUAGUGUUGUCAAACGGGUUGUUCCGUCCCGUCCCGGCCCGGACCGCUGCGGGUUUUCUCUUGUGCGGGUUACGGCGGGUCAAGCCCGCGCGGGAUGCGGUCUCCAAUAGCUCGGCCCAAGCCCGCCCCGCCGAAAUGCACAGGCCUUUACAGGUCGUCCCGCGGGCUGCGAACCAUCAGGUGCACCAAUGGACUUCUAAACGCUGUGUGCUGUUCCAUAACACUUACUGACGCUGCAUGCUGCUCCAGGAGACCAGGACACUUCAUCUUCGUGUUAAAGAUGUACAAUUCAGGCUUUUAUACUACAUAUCUAAAUUCAUUUUGUCCUUGUAGUCAAAAUUUCAAUUCAUAUAAGUUCUUGAAGUCACUGAUGAUAACCAAGCUCGAGUUAUUGAUGAUAACUAAAUCUUAUAGUGCAUGUAGAAGAUGAGAUUUUAGUCUUAACAAAUUUUAAAUAAAGAAAAACACCAAAUCAAAGCAGUCAAAACAAAACCAAGCAAGUAAAACAAGAUGUAGCAGAUUGUAAAAAAUAAAAACACCAAAUCAAAAUAACAAUUCAAGCUUCCUCAUCUUCAUCUUCCCCAUUGACAAUGGACUGAAAUGAUGGCACUUUCUCUUCUUCACCAUCACCAUCGAUUUCUUCAUCUGUAAAUAUCAGAAAUUUCAUUUACUUAGGACUAAGGGAUAAUGAUACUCUACAAGAAAUAAUAAUGUGAAUUAAUUACCAUGUGCAUAAGAUUCGUAUCCCUUGAUCCAAUUUCUAGUGCAUAUCAAAGCUUGCACAUUUUUUGGGAGAAGACGGCUCCUGUAUUUGUUAAGAACUCUAGAUCCAAUGCUAAAAGAGGACUCUGAAGCCACUGUUGUGAUUGGAAUACUUAGCAGGUCACAUGCCAUUGCAGGCAAAUCCCCAUACCGAUGGGCAUUAUCCUUCCGCCAAUCGAGGAUGUCCAAGCUCUGAAAAUUAGUAAUGUCCAGAGGUGGUUCAUCAAGAUAAGCUUCUAGAGGUGUUUUUCCAGUCGCAACCCCACUGACUUUGCGAAAUGCAAAGAAAUCCUAAGAAGGUUAUUUAGAAAAAAAUUAGAAAUGAAAAGAGAGAUGAACAAAAGGUUUAAAAAUUAAUAAACACUCACACCGUAGUUCUCAAACAGUCCCAUUGUCCCUGCUCCAGAAGCUUUUUGUGAAACAGUCUCUCGUGGCUCUGUAGACGGUGAGCUAUUCUUGGAUUUUUUGUCAUACGACUCAAACAAAAUACUAAGCUUCUCACGCAAGUUCUUUAGCUUUGCAUCACGUGUACUCAUGUCAAGCUUUUCCAAACAGCAUUCGACAAUGGAAAGCUUAAACCUUGGAUCGAAGACUGCUGCCAUUGCAAAAAGACCACUGACUUCAUCCCAAUAUUUAUCGAACUUCUCUUUCAUCGGUGGCACCAUGUAUCUCACAAUCUCAUCUUCGCUUCCCUCAUUGAUCCGAAGCCAAUUAUGGAUCUGGAAAACCUGAUAGAAAUACAAGUUUGAAGUAGGAUAGUUCGAACCAGACAUCAAGGUCGUGAUUACAGCAAACGGACCCAAGAAAUUGCAGAUAUUCUCAGCUCUUGUCCAUUCCUCAGCAGUGGGAGCCAUUUUAUAACCCUUCUUAUCAAAUGUCUCCAACUUGGCAAAGGCUCGACGGUACCUGAUGGCUCUUUCAAGCAUAAAGAAAGUGGAGUUCCAUCUUGUCGGAACAUCGAGGAGUAGACCCCCAGUUUCUACUACACCCGCAGCCGCAACGCAUUUCUGGAACAAGUUUUCACGUGUUUCCGAUGACAGUACAUACUUAACACUCUCUCUUACUUUGUGCAAAGAGUCUCCAAUUACCUUCAACCCAUCUUGUACUAUGAGGUUAAGAAUGUGCGCUGCACAUCUCACAUGGAAAACCAAGCAGUCCAAACCCAAGUAAAUUAUAAAUCAGAAGGAGUCUCCAGAUUAAUGCUUUGACGACAGUGGCAGAAGCAAAUUAUGCUUACAUACUUGACACAUAAAUCCACACCCGUCGGUGCUUAAUUAAUUUAUUCAGACUUCGACGAACUUUCCAUUGGAGGGAUAACGAAAUGUUUGUUUGCUUGAAGACAGUCGAAAGACAAGUUAGAAGAAUUGAUGUGUGCAUAUUUCUUGGCUUUUAGCCAUGUAAAUAAAGUGUGGUAGUCCUUUCUCAUCCACUUUAUUUAUUUAUUUAUUUAUUUUUGAAUUAACCAGUGACCGAAUUAAAGUCAACAGACUAAUCUGUGGAUCCCAGCAAUACCGACAUUUGUAAAUCUUCUGAUGAUUAGUGGGAAUCGAACUGCAAGUUCACCAUAAUGAGAUUAUCCCUUAAGCGUCACUAGCCAACUCCAUUGGUUUUUCUCAUCUCCUUUAGAGUCUGAAUUAAGCAGUUUGCAUUCAUUUUCUCCAUGUUAUCCAUUUUAAAGUCUUAGUUGCAUUUCAUGAAAUUUUCAUAUAGUCUUUGAGUCUUGUUUAGGUCUUCUUAGAGUUAUGCAAGAGUGGAGAACUUGGAAUAGUGGAGAGUUCAUAUGCAGAAUCUAGAAUCUAUACUUGAAAAAUUAACUAAGAUGGUCUUAAAUAUCAUUUAUGAGGUUCACCUUUUGGCACAACAUAGGAAACUGAUUAAGAGUUAUGAGUUCUUACAUUUUUGUUUUUUGAACACCAAAUAUAUUAAGAAGAAAUCAUCCCAUGACUAGGAUGAAAUAGCAGUAGCGGUACAAAGAGUAGACUUAGCAAUCAAAUCAGCUAAGGAGUUCAAAAGCUUUGCAAUAAACUUAAAAGAAACAGGGUAGAAAAAACGGAGAUAGAUAUUCAAUAUCCUGGAGAUAAAUAUUCAAUAUCCUGGCGAUAGAGCUGUCAAAUGGUCCGUGACCAAUUGGACCAUUUCAAUUUUGGGUAGUAAUGGGUGGUCUAUAUUAGACAAUGGUCCAAACAAAUGUGCAAGACCAAUAGAGACCAUGUCCAAAUGAGCAUGCCCAUGGACACCCAAUAGUAUUUGUAAUUAUUUUUUCGAUUAUUAGUUUAGAUUUUUUACUCUCUAUAAUUAUGUUUUCUCUUCAAAAUUAUAAAAUACCUUCUUCUUGCCAAAACCGAGAAAUCAUGUUUUCCUGCCAAAACUGAAAAAUUACGUUUUCCCGCAAAAACAAGAAAUUUAUGUUUUUCGGCCAAAACCAAAAAAUUACAUUUUCCCGCCAAAACCGAGAAAUUACGUUUUCCCACCAAAACCAAGAAAUUAUAUUUUUUUGCCAAAACCGUGAAAUUACAUUUUCCCACCAAAACUGUAAAAUUCAUUUUUUCGUCAAAAAUGUGAGAUUAUGUUUUCCCGCCAAAAUUAUAAAAUUUCUCUUUAAAACUGUAAAAUUACGUUCUUUUUGCCAAAAUUUUGAAAUUAUGUUUUCCGUCAAAAUCGUUAAAUCUUGAUUUCCCGAUAAAACCGUUUUUUUUUGCUAAAAUUGUAAGCUAUGUUUUUUUUUGGUUAAAAUCAUGAUAGUAUGUCUUUAAGAAGCCCAUGGACACCAUUGUCCAUUUGGUUUUUACCUAGUUGCACCAUGUACCAAUUGGUCUUUUGUCCAACUGGACCAUUUAUUAAUUGGACGAAUCCAUAUCCCGCCAAAAAUGAAUUAGACUGAGUUAGCCCAAGUCAGCCCCGCCUAGUUGACACCUAUACCUGGAGGAUCCCACAGAGGUCAGCCGGAAGAGAUUUCGAAGAAAUUGCUACUAAGAGCGGUUGAUAAUCUGUGAUGAAACAAAUUCUUGAGUAGCCCCGUGUUUGGGCGGUGAGUACUGCACAAAGCAGUGCUAGAGCUUCGGCGAUGAGACUUGUCUUUCCACUCGAGAAACCUUGUAGAUGAUUCACCCUUCUUUAUUUUUAAAAAUACAUCCAAAUGCUGUUAUGUUGCUUUCCUUCUUCCAUGCUGCAUCUGAAAAGCAGAGUACUGAAUCAUCCAAGUUGGGUAUGAUCAAUGACUGACUGCAUUGGUGGGUUGGUGUAGGCAGCAGGGGUUAUGCCAUCUUCCAUUCCCGUGCAUUCCUUAUGGUUUUGGACAGUGUUUCCUCCGGUGAAACUAGCUUAUCUUCGAAUAUCAUUUUGUUUCUCGCUGUCCAUAAUUCCCAGCAUAUCCAAGGAUAGAUAUCAGAGGUAAUACCAUUAGGGGGGCAGGCAUGUAACCUUUUUUACAUAUAUUUAAAGCUUCAACAAAGUCCGAGCUUUUUUCAGGAUUUAAUUUUGUAGCUUGAAAAGAGAAGUUGCAAAAUCACAGCGAAGGAAUAAAUGCGUAACAAUUUCUAGCUCUCCGCAUCGAAUACAAGUAGUUUUAUGCAGUAGACCUCUUGUUGUACGUUAGCUCCAGUGGGUAAAGCUCCUUGUGUCGCUUUUACAUGUCUAGUCAAUGAAAAUUGAUGUUUAAGGUAUUUAAUGGUUAUUAGGACAUUAGAUUAUUGUUUGCUCAUAUUGUGAUAUUAAUGGAAUUGGUGUUAAAUUCAUAAUUAACAUAUGGUUAGUAUGAUGGAACUGGAUAAGGUCAAAUUAGUGAUUUUACUUAGGGAUGGACGCAAGGCGAGUACUUGUUUUUUAUGUAUACUUGAUAUUUGGGUUGCUUUAAAACGAGUAAUAAAUUUUUGGAUUUGUACUUGACUUGUCGAAAACAAGUACUUGUUAUUUCAAGUACUUGUUUAAAAAUAUUUUACUUGCAAGUUAUUUGCCUCGUUCGAUUACUUGUUACGCAUAAGUAUUUAUAAAUUAUUUGGACAUAUUUUUAAGUUUCUGAGAAUUACUUUGCAUAUAAUUUUAUCAGAGAAUGUUAUGAAAAUUCAUUUUGUUUACUCUGACUUGGAAAAAAACACAAGAAUUAUUUUAAAUAAAAUAUUUGCGCCUAAUAUAAAAAAGAAUAAGAAACAAAAUACAUAGAUUUUUAUAAGGAAGUUCAGUAAAAAAAGUUUUUGAUAAGAAAGUAUUUCUUACAUCUUACAACAAAGAAAUAUAUGUUUUAGGGCUUUGGUUUUUCUGGUUUAGUUAACAAUUUUCAGUAAUAAAACAAGUAACGAGUAAUAUCAAGGCGGGUCGUUAAUUGUUUUUGCGAUACUUGUUACUUUCCUUGUACUUGCAAGUAGCAAAACUUAGUGACUUGAUACUUGACAACGACGAGUACUAGAAAAAUCGAAGCGACUAUGGACCAAGUAACAUAUAUACGGCGAGUAACGAGUAUUUAUGUCCAGCCCUAGAUUUUAGACCUAAUAUUAUCAUUCAAUGAUUGUAUUGAGCAUCUUAGAUUGACCUUUGGUCACCCAAAGUCAAUAAUCUUGAUCCAAAUUUUAUAAAUUGAUCAAAUUUUAUAACUAGAUCAAAUUUUACUAAUCAUUUAUUCUUCAAUUCCUUUUAAGUUGAAUGAAACUUAGAAGCAUAUGACCUAAUAAUAACAAAAACGUGUAGAUAUAUGUGUACAUGCAAAGAUUUUGUUACUUUUGUCAGGGAUCAUUAUCAUGUUAAAAAAAAUAUUUAAUAGAAUUUCUUUUAUUAACUCAAUAUUUUCCCAUUUUUACAUCUCAUAUCUACAUUAUUAUUUCUGAAAUAUUUUUUUUUGUAUUCGAGCUUUCAUGUUAAAAAAAAAUAGAGUGGUAAGUCGUUGUUACACUUAAUUAAUGAAUAAUUUAUUUUAUUAUUUAAAUAAUCGAGUAAUAGUUUUUAUAUUUAGGUACUUUCUGUUUUUAUUAAUUCUGGAUAAUAACACAAUAAAUAAUAAUUUUAGAUAAUAAUAAUACAAUAGAUAAUGAUAAGAUAAUAAUAAAGAUUGUUAUUAUAAAAUCAAAAAUAUAUAUUAUAUCAUAUAAAAUGUUCAGAAAAUAUAAAUAUAUUCUAUUCAUACACUUUUCCAUGAUAACCAACCGUUUCACAAAUUCUAAUCACGUCAAAUUGCAGAAAUUAUAUCAUAUAUUUGUGUACAUAUAAUACAAAAAUUAACAUACUAUUGUUUAAUAUUCUACUGUUCAAAACUAAAUAAUAAUGCGUUCACGUAAUUACUUCUAAAAAAUUUAAGUCAAACAAAAAUAUACAGUAUAACAAUGUCUUUCCAAGUGUUCGACAAGUGUUGGUUCUUUUUUUUUUGUCAACAACAAGUGUUGGUUCACUUAAAACAUAUUUGCAUUGAUUAAAAUAUCUCUAACUUAUUAUAUGGAUAAAAUUCCAAUAAUGUAUAAACUAUGACAGAUAUUCAGUUGUGAUAAAUUUUUAGUUUUAAAGUUAUAUCUUCUAUGAAUAUUUUUUGCUGAUUUUUUCCUUCAUAGAUGGAGAUAAUAGCGUUGAAAUGUGAUGGUUUUUCAAUUGAUAAUGAUGUAAUAAUAAAUAUUUAUAAAAUGAUUAUUUCUGUAUGUGCAGAUAAAACACUUAAUUAUUUAAAAUUCAAAAUAAAAUAAUUCCAAAUUAAAAUAAAUUAGUAACUUAAUAUUAUUUAUUAUUUUCAUGCAGUAAAUAAGCCCUUUUAAUACAUAAAGUUUACUAUAUACUCUAAGAAGAAUGAGGACGAGGACAUUUUGAAUCACAUGCGGCUUGGUCGGGCCAACAAGGAUCACCUUUUAAGGCUACACAACACCAACCCCAUUUCUUAAACCAUUUUGUACGCAUACAAUUUGAGUCUAUGAUUAGUUUUGAUUUAUCUAUAUCUCUAAUAUCUGUCCUUGCACCUACACAUAAAAAUCACACAUCAACCAAACGUUAACAAGAUAAAAACGAAAAAAACAUAAGUACUAUAAUUGCAAAAAUCUAUACAUACACUGAUGUAAAGUAAAUAGGGAGAUGAUGAAUAUGCACAUGAGAGCUGUAUGUAUCUUCAUGAUUUUCUUAAACAACAAUGUGAUGUCCUUAACUUGUUUAGUAGUCUUGUUUCAAAAGAAUGUGAAUUUUGUCUUCUUGUAAUUUUUUUUUAUAAAGUGUGCUAUUAAAUGAAAAUUUAAAAUAUCUUGUGUAAUUUAAUAAUUUUAAAGAAGUAAUAUAUAUGUAAUCAUUAAUUAUUAACUAGAUUUCACAUGUUUAUAUUUUAUCCAAGAUAUGUGUGUAUAUAUUUCUUGUUAUAAUUAUUUAAAAAUAUUCCUAUUAAUAUUAAAUACCAGAAAAAUAAUUAAGGAACAAAAACAGAAAAAAGUUUAUAUGUUUAUAAAAAAAUGAUAACAUUUGUAUGGCUUUAAUAAAAACUAGGUUAAGAUCCGCGCCUUGCGCGGGAUGAAUAUAUAUAAAUUAUUUUCAAGUAUUCUAUAUUUUUUACAUAUUAUGAAAUAAUAAAUAUAUAUUGAAUAACUAAAAAUUUAUUAACUAUUACGUAUAUAAUUAAAUUGGUACAAAUACUUAAAUAAAUUUUAUCAAUCCAGCCAAACAUUUUUUUUCUAUUUUAUAUGGCAUAAAAUUAAGUUUAAAUGAUAUUAACAUAGAUAUAUAGUACAUUUUUAAUAUUGACAUCUGUUAAAAAAUAUUUUGUACUCAUAUUAUUUUUGAUCAUUUGUAUUUAUUUAUAAAAAAAUUAAAUCAAUGAUAACAAUAAAAAAAUUGUGGGAUGUUUAAUAGUAUUAGUAAUUUAUAAUUUUAAAAACAUUCAAUACAAAAUUUAAAAUCUAAAUAUUAAGUUGUCAAUAACUAUUCAAUAUGUUUAUAAAAAAAAUUCAAAGCAAAUUCGAAAUUAAAAUACUUAUGUAUUUUAUAUGGUAUAUAAUUUAUUUUUAAAAGCUAUUAAUAUACAUAUAUAUAUAAUAUUUAUUAAAUGAGACUUCCUACUUAUAUAAUUUCGUAAUCAUUUGUAUCUUGUUAUAACAUAAAUUUUAAACCAUGGAUCACAAAAAUUUCUAUGUGAGAUUUUUAGCAACUUAAGUCAUUUAUAUUCGUUUUUAAAAAUUCAAAAUAUAUAAUAUACGAAAAAAUCUAUAUUUUUAUUAUAUAGUUAAUGUGGUCGUUUAAUUUAUUUUAAUAAGUUAAAAUUAAAAAAAAAUGAUAGAGAAUAGACUAAUUUUUAUCAAAUCUUUAUUAUUCAAAAUCAUUAAUUGUUAUAUAUAUACUUUAACCGCAUUAGAUAAUUCCGUGAUUUUUAUUUAAGGAAACAAUGAAAAACAUUUAUGAUUAAUUUAUGGUUAGUUUAAUAAAAAGCUUAUUAUAUAUUUAUAUGGACCAACAUAUUUUUCUAGGAUUCUAAGAAUGAUUGUGGUUAUGACAUGUAGCUACAAAAAUAUUUUGUAAUGCUUCUCUUUUAAUAUAUAGGGGAUACAUAUAACAAAUUAGUUAUUAUAUUUAUUGUUAUAUGAUGUAUAAUUUAUAAUUUUUUGAAAAUAUAGAAUAAUGUUUUAAUAAAUUAUAGAGGUUUCUUACAUUUCACCUAGUUUUAACUACUUACGGUCAUCUAGUAUAUUUUGGAUUUUAUAUUUGUUCUAUUAUUACUAAUCUAUGAUUUUAAUUUUUAAUUUUUUUAUUGUUGUAAUAGUCUAAGAUUAGAGAUUUAAAUUAUAAAAAUAUUUUUAAUCAUAAUAUUAGUUUUUUUAUAUUUAUUUUGAAUAUAUUUUAUUCUCUUUCAGUCUAUGUUAAUUAAAGUAAUUAUCAUAAUUAAUAUAUAUUAAUUUUGCAUUAAAUUAAAUUUAAUAUAAAUUUUCACAUAAUUUAACUAUUAUUAUAAUUUGAUAUCUUUAAUCUUUUCUAUUACUGAUUAUUUAUUUUUAAUUUCUGUUCACAUUUUACAUAUUCUUUACUUUCUGAAAGUUAAUUAUAAAAUUAUUUUAAUGAUAUAGUAUUUUCAUAAUACUUAGAUUUAUUUAUUUAUUUUGAUAAUUCUUUACUCUUUAAAUUUAUAUAUCUCAGGCGGGUUUUCUUUAGGCUGAGGCUCAGUUGGAGAAAAUAUUGGGAUUUGGGAGGAGUGAGUGACAGCAGAGUCAGGUUCCUUUGGGUAUCUCGUGGAACACGCGAGUCAAGGCUGAAGGAGGCUAUUGAAGGUAGUUUGGGUGUUGUAGUAAGCUGGUGGGAUCAACUGCGCGUGUUGUGUUACGCAGCUAUAGGCGGGUUUUGGACGCAUUGUGGGUAUAAUGAUUAACGAGACAUUGGAAGGGAUGUACUCUGGAGUACCAAAGCUGACGUUUCCUUUGGUUUGGGAUCAGUUUUUGAAUGCUAAGAUGAUUGUUGAGUAAUGGAGGAUUGGGAUGAGGAUGGAGAGCAAGAAGAGUACGACAGAAUUGUUGGCAAGGAGAGACGAGGUCAAGGAACUGGUGAAAAGGUUUAUGGAUGGAGAAGACUGAAGAAGGGAAAGAUAUGAGAAGAAGGGCUUGUGAGAUCUGUCGUGGAGUUGUUGCAAAAGCCGGUUCUUCAGAUGUUAAUAUCGACGCUUUCAUUAAAGAUAUGAUCGUGUGAGUUUGAUGUUGUAUUUUGGUUAACAAGAAAAUAAACAGAACUCAACGAGUUAUAUCAGUGACGAUGAAUUAAAUAAACGAAACAAAAGCACUAAACGAAUAACUAGAGAAUGCUUAGUGCUGAUGAGGUAGCAUACGCUUGAGUAAUUAAACUGGUCCACAGGUGCGACUACUAAUGGAAGCUUAAGCCCAUCCUUACUACAAUGAGCGGCCGUUGAGCUAAUAAAUUAAAGUAGUGGAUUCCAAUUAUAGUGAGCUUGACAAGAUCGUGGCCCCGUCUUGUACACAGCUUUUGGAGAAGCAGGGUCGCAGGAUUUGAAUUCAAGGUUCUUGCUUGGAGGUGGUGGAGGAAUCAGACGUUACGGUUCAUUCAAAAUGAUUCUACUAUUUUAAAAAAAUAUUAAGCAAAUAAAUUAAUAUAUCAUCAUUUAACAGGAAUUGAAAGGGCAGUUUACGACAACAAACAAGAGAGAAAAGGGAAAGCUGAAAUAAUACAAUUUAAUAUUCGAUUAAAAAUAUAUGAGUAUACUUUCAAAGUUUUCAGUCUGUAAUUACUUGAGGGAAAAGGUAAGUAAAAACGAGAAAUUGCAUUAACCUAAACGAAUAAGGAAAAUAAGGCGGUGCACCAAAUCCUCUAUAUAAACACUCUACCACCCCCUCUUAAUUUCCAUAAAACAAGCUCAAAACUUCAACAGAUCUCUCUCAAACUGUUGUCCUUCACAUCGUUUAAUUCUUUUGUUCCAGAAAAAAAAAGAACCAAAACAUCGAUCAUGGCUUUGAUUAAGAGCAACACCUUCUUCACUUCUUUGAUGAUUCUUCUCGCUCUCUUUGGAGUUGCCGUUGGAGGAACAGUGCACAAAGUGGGCGACUCAAGCGGAUGGACCAUGAUGGGUGUUAAUUAUGAAGCCUGGGCUUCUUCAAGAACUUUUCAAGUCGGAGACUCUUUGGUUUUUGAAUACAACAACGGUUUUCACGACGUUACUGAAGUCACUCACAAUAAUUUCGAGCUGUGUGAACCGUCUAAACCAUUAGCUAAAUAUCAAACAGGAUCAGAUACGAUCAGUCUAACAAAACCGGGAUACCAAAACUUCAUAUGCGGAUUUCCUAGUCACUGCGACAUAGGACAAAAGCUUCAAAUCCUCGUCCUACCGGCCUCGUUGGGUCCCUUUGCAGCUCCAGUUCCUGGACCAGUUCGAUCACCUACUACCUUCUCGUCAUCUCUUUCACCGGUUAAUAAUGUUCCACAACAUCAGAUGGGUCCACCACCAACUCCACAUAGCGCAGCUGCAACCUCUAGUGUUUGGAUCGGAUUCCGCUACUUUCUACUUUCUCUUUUCAUCUUAGUUUGAUAGUCAUUCACGUACGUUGUGAUUCCUUUAGGUCAUAUUUCUAACUUUAGUACGUUUGAGUUGUGUUGUCUAUUUAUGUAUAUAUAAACUUGCACUGUUAUAGUUUGAAAUCAAUUUUUAAUUAAUUUAUCAUAUUUAUUAAUUUAUCAUUACAUAAUAGUUUACCUAGAGACCAAGCUAUUGAUGUGGCCGGAGAAUGUUUAUUGUUUUGUAAUAGAGAAGAAGUAAAAGCGAAGAAAGUUUCCAAAACAAACUAGAUUAGCCCUUAAAACAGACUGCAUGUGAUUAUGCUAAACAGAACUCUUAUGAAAAAGGAGCAUUAUAAUAUCGUUGACUUUCUUCUUUUUCAAGAGCAAAGUUUGUCAUAAAAUACCACUAUGCCCAGCUAAUCGCCACGGGACUGCCCACCACGUGUAUUCCGUCUGACCAUUGGAUGCUCCCGAAGCUGUUAGACCCAGACGCCUUAGAUGAGUCUACAUUAAACGUUACUGAAUACGAUUUCUUCUCGUUUACCUCUUUGAAAUUCAAAACAGCUGGUACGACCGAUAUAUUGACUAUAGUUGUCUCCGAGGUUACUUUAACCGAGUAUGAUCCAGCUUCUCCAACGUUCGUGACUGUGCGCGUGUACGUGUACGCGCCGGAUCCCUGGACGUUAAGGGCGAACGACGGAUAAUUUAGAUUACCUACAGAGUACGUUUUGCUUGGAUCGCAAGUGUAGUUGCGUCGCGAUACUUUCAUGAUCUGCGACGAUGUGUAAUUCAAUGCGCAGAGGAAAUCUAAAUAAUCCACAGUCAAUAUGUCGUAAAUAAGUCCUGGAUUGACGGCCAUCGUCGGUGACACGUGUCCUGCACCGUGAUCGAACGGAGUUGAAGGUUUUCCCGUUGCGAUGUCGAUUAACGGUUUCCCGUCUUUGUAGGUACUGUAAGCGGUUGUCAUGAGAGCCGAUCGAAUUGCCGCCGGACUCCAUUCUGGAUGCACAGACUUGAGAAGAGCUGCUAAACCGCUCACGUGAGGGCAAGACAUCGACGUUCCUGAGAUGAUGUUGAACUCCACGCGGCGUGUGUCAGAAGCCAGUUCGGUGGGUCCCUUAGCUCCGGUCCACGCGGCGAGGAUAUUGACCCCCGGAGCUAUCAAAUCCGGUUUGAGAAUGUUUGGCGUUGUUGGAUUAGGCCCUCGCAAGCUAAAUGCUGCAACUACUGGAGAUGGCUGGACAUUGACAACAGUUCCUUGUGUCAAAAUCGAAGCAGUGGGAUUCGGAUGGGUGAUGACAUAAUGCCGGAUGAUUUCUCCGGCUUUCUCUCCAACAGCGGUCGCGGGUAACAAAUGAGCAUCCGCCACAAGCUCUUCUCCGUUCUCCGCAGUAUUAGCCAGAAUCAUUCCGAGUCCACCAACAGCUUUCACCACCUCCCCUUUCUCAACCCUAAAGUUCACUCCCCUGUCGCACAUCACGAUCUUCCCCUUAACUUUCUCCGGAAUUAGGGUCCCGGAAACACAAAAGUUUCCAUUAGUAGCGUUACUAGCAUUCCCGGCGUAAACAAACGGCAACAGUUCAGGAAGAGCAUCUCCUUUAAUCAACGAAACUCCAGAAUAAUUAUUACCGUUGCCUAGAAUCACUAGUGCCGGAAAAUCCCGAUCUAUAGUACCAGCACCUACAGUAGUAAUCCACGGAGCUACGUUCGAUAUAUCGGAAGAUCUGGGACCAGAAUUACCCGCAGAGCAGGACACCAGAAUCCCUCUUUCCAUGGCAGCAAAUGCUCCAAUGGCAAUAUCGUUUCUAUAAUAAUCCAACGUUAAAUCGUCCAUAGAUAUGGAUAGAACGUUGACGUUAUCGUCGAUGGCUUUAUCAAUUGCAGCUAAAACAUCUGAAUCGAAGCAACCACCUUUCCAACAAACUUUGUAAACUGCCAGUCGAGCGCCUGGAGCCAUCCCACGAGCUGUCCCAUUAGCGAAGCCUAAAAAAUUAGCUCCUUCCACGACGGAUCCUGCCGCGGUUGAUGACGUGUGUGUUCCGUGACCGUCAUCGUCUCUAGGCGAUCUCGAUUCUUUGGAUUCGUCGAUUGGUCCCUUCUCUGCUUCGUAACCACGAGCAAAGAAUCUAGCUCCGAUCAGUUUUCGGUUACAGAGCGAGGCUGUGAAGUUAGUCCCAACCUCACAUUUGCCUUUCCAGGUAGACGGAAUGGGACCGUAUCCUUUGUCGGAGAAGCUUUUUCUCUCUGGCCAAACACCGGUGUCGAUAACUCCGACGACAACGUCGCUGGACGCUUCAGUUUCAGGGAAUAGAUCUCCGUUGUGUACGUCCAGACCGAGGAAUAGUGGAGUCCGGGUGGUGUGUAACUCGUACUGUUGCUCUGGUAGAACCGAGAUGACGCCUGGUUGAGUCAUAAGCGAGUCAGCUUCUUGGGGAGUAAGCCGAGUGGAGAAUCCGUGAAUCGCGUUGUUGUAAGUGUAGAGCAACUCAGCGGAUUCUGAGACGGAUUUGAGUGAAGAAGCGUACCAGAGAGAGUGGAGGUCGAAGCUCGAAGGCAUCUGAGAUUUUGCCAUGUGAACGAUGUAAGUUGCUUGUUGAGCUCCAUUGGACACGUGGCAGGAACCCAGAUAGAGAAGAACGAUAAAAAAGGAUGCAGUGGAGAAUAGAAACGAAGAAGACAUCUUUUGUACUUUUUGUGGUAUCUCCCUGAGUUGAAGAAAAAAGUGAAGAUGUGUGAGAGUUUAUAUAGAGAAAGAGGGAGGAUAUAUUGAAGGGGUUAGAUUUCGAAUGUACCGCCACUCUUCUGUUUUGAAAGUUUAGUAUAGUAUUGAUUUUGAAAACUAUCCUAUGUGUUUAUGAUACAACAUAUAAUCAAUAUUUUAAUUUAUUUUAGUUAAAUUUUGAUGUUAAAUAAUUAAAUUGAUCCAUUGAUCCCUUUCGCAUUGAUCAAUUUUUUUUUACAUGUUUCAUAUAAUAACCUCUAAAAACUAUAAUUGUAUAAAUUAUAAUGGUAACACGAUCCACUCUAUAAUUAAAUGAUAUAUGUCUUUACUAAUUUUCAAUAUUUUAUUUUUGUCAAAUUACUUAGAUAAAUGUUAUAAUUUUUCAUAAAAUGAAAAUGAUGAUUUUAAAGUUAAAAUAUCAAAAUAUAUUUUUAUUUUUGUAUUUUUAUCUACACAAAAUAUAAUGAUUGUAUUUCCAGAUGAGCACAACAUUCUUAUGCACCCAUUUCCAUUAAAAAGUUUAGGAUCCAUAAAGAACAAGAACCAAAAUAUCGAGCUGUUAUUUAACGAAAAAUGUCUGAAAUAUUUUGUUGCAAUGAAUAUUAUUCAGUAAAUAAAUAAAAAUAAAAUAAUAAGUAAUGCAUUGACAUUUUGAAAACUAUAUUUCAAAUAUGUGUACAGUAUUUACAAAGUAAAAUACAUAGUAUAUAUUAUAUCUAUUAUAUAUCUAUUUAUAUUAUAAACUUUAAUUUUUCGUUUUAAAAUUCUGUAACAUUAUUAUUUUAAAAUAUUUUAAUUCCCCCUGAAUUAUAUAUUAAUUUAAAUAUUUUAUAAUAUUAGCUUUUUAAAAUUAUGGUAUUUUAAACAUAAACUAGAUUUUGAGUUGCGCAUUCAAAGUGCAGAAUUUUUUUUUGUUGAAAAAUUAAUUAAACUGUUGUUUGUUAACAAAUAUGUUUACCAAUGAACUUUCGAUUUUCAGUUCGGUUCCAUUUUUUUUUAGGUUCUCCUUCAGUUGUAUUUUUGACUUUUUGGUUAUUGUUCGGUUAUUUAUGAAUAUGAGUUUGAUUCAGUUCGGUUACUUUGGUUAUGAGAACAAACAUUAAAGUAUAAUAAACUAGGAUUGGCUAGCCCUACGGGCGAGAUAUUAGUUAAUUUGAUAUUCACUAAAUGCUCGAGUUGAAAUUUUUUUUAAAAAUUUAAGAAUUUGGUUAUCUGUUAUGUGUUACUUAUUAGUAUGCAGUGGUAUAGUUGUCUUUCGAUUAUUUUUGCUUUGGUAUUGUAUCAAAUUAACUAAUUAUCCAACUCAUAAUUAUAGAUGUACAAAUGUGGAUUUGUGAUAAAGUUUGAUGACAACACUGUUUUUUUUUAAUUUUUAUUCAUAGUGGAGUGUGCAUGUGUCAGAAAGAGACCUAUAUUAACUUUUAUGUUUUUGUGUAUGGAUUUUAAAUAUAUAUUAUUUUGUAUAAUGCAUACUUGCUUUACAACAUUUACUUGUAGACUAAAAAAAUUGUUUUCUAUAUUGUUAAAAGAGAAAAUAUUUAGUCUAGAAUAUAACAUGGACAUAUGUAUUGACUAUAUAUAGAUGUUGGGUGUUAUUUUAAAAUGACAUAUGUAUAGAUGUUUUUCAACCAUUACUUCAUUGGCACAAAACAUUUAUAACUGCAAAUACCUUCUUUUAAAAGCAAAACUAAUAAAAGCGUGUACAAAAAAUGUAUUUUGAUAUAUAUUAUAUGCAUCAAGUUAUAAAGGUUGGAAACAUUGCAAAACUGUUUGGAGCAAAGUUUUUAACUUCACGAUCUUCAUCUUGACGUCAGUUCAGUGCCGGCCCUGGCCACAAGCAGAAAAAACAUGGGCUUCCAGCCGACACGAUAAUAAGUAUUCUCGCGGCCACAUAUUUAUAAAAAGUGACUUUAGCCUAUUGGUUCUAAGAGAAAUUGCCAGUGCUGGAAGGUGCUGGGUUCAAUUACCCCUGACAGCCUUUUGUUUUAUUUUGGCCCCAAAUAUAAAAUGGGACACAUGUCAUUCCCAUAACGCAUGACUUGAUGACGUGGCAUCACAUGAGUGAGAGGAACAUAUUUUUAUAUAUAUAGAUUAUGUGAUUGUUAUUAUGGCUUUUUGUUUUGUUAAUGGAUCAUGGCUUUUGAUAUAACUAAAAUAUUGCUAACACCAAAAAAUCUCUUUUCAUUAUGUUCCAAUGCGAGAUUAUAAAAUAUAUUAUAUCGAAUAUUAUUAAGGGUAAUAUUGACUUUAACCGCUCUAACUUUUAACGUGAGAGCUCGAAUCCGAAAAAACUAUUUUGCAAAUAGUAGUAUUGAAGAUUCAUUAAAAUUAAACUGAUGUAUUAUAAUAUGAAGGUUUUAGCAAUAUUGGUUUAACUUAGUUUUCGAAUGAAAUAUCAAAAGAAGAAUUAGUUUUUUGAAUGAAAUAUGAAAAGAAGGAAUUAAAAACUAUGUUCUACGAAAGAGAGCAUCGAAGUGAGAUCACUAAAACUGAGAUCUUGAAAACCAAGAUGAGUAGGGACUACUAACGGCAAGCCAACGACGAAGAAGACAACAUCAAAGACAGCUAAAUCUGAUCCAACCCAAGGAGAUGCAGUCCCUAGCAUCAGCCAAAAUCUAAGGUAAAAGAGGAGUGGCCAACAUUGAGCGGAACAUACUACAACACAAUGAGAAACAACCACACAAAUGUGAACUCAUAAACCGGAUCUACAAUAAAUACCAGAUAAUUUCACAAGAGAAGAAGGAAAGAAAAAAUAAGAGCACAUAGGUGAGUCUUUUUCGGUGAUGGUGAGUAGCAUCGCACACCGAAAAGGUAAAUGAAAUACAGAAAUAGUGAUGACUCAAGGUCAAAAUAUAGGAAGAAGAAAAAAAAGAUCUUAAAAUAACAAUAUACAAAAUUUUGAAAAAUUAAAAUAUAUUGACGCUGAAACCGUAAAUCUCAGAAUCAACAAAUGUCUAAAUUCAAAGUUAUUGAAAUUCAAUAUGCUUUACAUCAUAAGCUUACUUCACCACUGAUUAGUUUUAAAUUAAUUAGGAAAACCGUGUUGAAUAUUGGAGAAUUUUCAUGUUUACUAUAUUAUUGGUACUAUUAUUCAUGUUUACCUUCACUAAAAAUACAUUCUUCGUUAAGAGGUAAAAAACUCUUAUACUUGUUGCUCUAUAUAUAUAUAAUAAAUAAUAACAUACAAAAAUUAAAAAAAAAAAUUAAAAAAUAUAUGUUUUCAAAUUAUGAUUUUUCAAAUUCGAACUUUUUUUAUCAAAAAGAAUUUCUAAUUUUUUUUUGCAAAUUUUUUUUUCAAAUUUUUUUAAAAUUCGAAAAUUCUCUUUGGAGCAUUUUUUAAAUUUUAAAUUUUUUUAAAAAAAUUUAAGUAUUUAUUUAUAUAUCUAUUAGAAUCUUAAACUCCACAUUUUAAAAACACUACUUCACCCCUCAACUCUAAACCUAUGUUUAGAUUAGUUUAUAAAAAUAUUUUAUAGUAAUUAAAAAUAUAUUAAAUUAUUUUAAAAUAGAGAUUAAGUGAUUUUUAUAAGCUAUUUAAAAAAAAGUAAAAGAUAUUACAAAGUUAUUACAUAAAAAUUAGAGAUAUUUCUUGAAAUAUGUUAAGUUGCUACCACUUUUCAAAAAUACAUGUGGUGUUAUUCAAUUACUGAUUUCAAAUCAAUUAUUAAUGUUUUAUAAUCUAUCAAAUUUUAAAAUUUUAAGUUGAUGGAUUCUAAAAUCUCUGUAGUAGACCUUAUAUUUUGAAUUCAUUCACUUGUUCAUGAAAAUCCAUAAGAGAUGACUUGAAAUCAAUUUAAAAUAUAAAAAAAAAAUUAAAAUCUUUGAAAGUUGAAUAACACUAAAUUUUAAAAGCUAUAUUUAAAUCAUUCACUGAAUAACACUAGAUUUUAAAAUAGAAUUUUAAAUCAUCAUUUGAAUAAUAGUGAAUUGUGUUUAGAUUUAAAUUCUAUUAAAAUACAUGAUUGAAUAACACUACUGUAAUCAAAAAUAUCCUAACAUUUGGGCUAAGGAUUUAAUUAUUAUUAUUAUUAUUAUUAUUUUAUUAUGUAACUGAACCACAAUUAUAUUUUGGUAGCAACAGAAUACGAAUGUAACGGAAGCUGCCACUGAGAAGACGCAUAAGACUAGAUUUGGAUCUAGGUACUCGCCACUCUCUUCUAUUUGUCUGUAUAUAUGCAAUAUUUACCCAUGUCCACUGUGGGAUAGCAAUUGGGUCCACAUUAGACAUCAUCAAUCCAUCAACAUGUCUUUAUGUAUAUAUUUCCCAUCAAAACCGUAUGCCACGGUUUGUCCAAAAAAAAAAAAGCGUAUGCCACGGUCCGUGGAUAACUUGAAGUUUGGUUCAGCAAGUUGUAACUUAAGAUGUUAAGCAAAAAAAAAAAGUUGUAACUUAAGAUGUUAAGAAAAGUAAAAGUUUUGAAUUAAGAUUUUUGUGGUGGGUCCAUAAUACAUUGAUUACGUACAUAAUCAUGAUUUAUGUUUGGUAACUUAUAGUUUGUUUUAUAUUCCAAGUCAUUUAAUUUAAACUAGAUUUUGACCCGCGCUUUGAAAUCGCGGGAUUAUUUUUAUUUAUAAAAUUAUUAAUCUGUUUGUUAGUUAAAAAGAAAAAUAAAAAAAAAUAUUUGUUCAACCAAUUGUCACUUGAUAAUUAUUUAGUAUAUUCAAUGAAAUAACCUGGUAAAACGGUAAUUGAAAAAAUGUCUAACCAUAAAUUGCAGUUUUUUUUAAAUCAACAUUAUUUUAAGUUUUUAAAUAUUAAUUUAGAAAGAAUAACAUUUAAUUUAAAAGAUAUCAGAUAAAACUUAUUCUAGUAGGUUUAUCAUUUUAAAUUUCAUAAUAUUGUUAAAAAACUUGAAAAUUUUGAACCGUAUUAAUUCUAGUGAUAAGAACCAUGGCUACGGCGACCACAUUUUCCUCUCCCUCAAAUAGUCUUCCAUUCCAUAUCUUGGUAUUUAAUAGGAAGUUUUAUCUCUCUCCCACCUCUUGUCAAGUUGAGCGAGCUGGAUGGCUCUCUCACAACUUCAUCUACAUCACCUAACACUUCGAACCGAGAAGGACUCUCAAAUGCGCAAGGGUUAGAUGAUGUGGUUAAGGGAUCAACAACUAAAGUUUCACAAACCUUAGUGUUGGUAAUGAUUGAUGGAGGAGACUCCAUAACAGGUGUUGUAAUGGGAGUAGAUUGUAAAUCUACUAAUAUGGGUAAAGUGGUGACAGAGUUUGGCAAAGCAGUGGAGUUCUCCUGCUCUAAAGUAUGUUGCAAAGCCGGAGUGAUUUCAAGUUCAUAUAUGAGACCUUCAAUCUCUGUAAUAUGAUUCUGAGGAUCAGGGGCAUUACAAUCUGGAGUUGGAAGAGAGAGCUUUGCAUUGGGAUGUAUUUCUUUUUGAUGGAUAGCUGCUGAAGAUGAGUCAACAUUAUCCUUUUGCUGAAGGAUAUCAAUAUCCACUAUAGGGACCUCAGAACAUGUGUCUAUAGAAGGGGCAGCGAACUGAGCAGUUGUAGAAGGUAGGAGAAAUCUCUUCGCUUUGUGCCCUAGAUUACCACACCUCUCACACAUAGAUGGAAUCCAUGUAUACUCAACAUUAACAAGAAAGAUGUUACCUUGUUUAUCAUCCACGGCAAUAAGCUUUGGAAAGUCUCUAUCCAGCUCCAUCUCAACUAAAACCUUUGCUUCACCCAUACUAGUAGGAUCAAGCCAGGGUUUAUGCGUAAGAAUAGGUUCUCCAAGUCCUGAAGCAACAUGACUUAUUCCUAAUCUUGAGUAGCAACAAUCAGGAACAUUCUUCAAGUUGGCCCAAACCGGAAGCAUAGAGAUUUCAGGGAUAUUAAAAGAGUCUUCUGGAGUCCAUGGCAGUACGAAAAGUAAGCAAUCAUCAAUAUGCCAUACACCUCGCUGAAUCACCCAAUGACAAGUAGGUUGGUGCGAGAUAUGAAACAUGAAAGCCGAAUGGGUAGAGAACACUUAUGAAACUUGCCAAAAAUAUACUCAUCCUUAUUCUCCGGACCUAACCUAAGCACUUUCGAAGGAAUGGAUACCUCAGGUGUACCAUCAAGUCGAUACGUUGGUGUGGCUGCUCGGUAAAUAUUGACAACUUUUAACCAAAAACAAAAAUUGACAACUUAAUAUUUAAAUUUUAAACUUAGCCUUGUACUUUUAAAACAUUUAUAAAUUGUUAUAACUAUUAAUCACAUAAUAAAUUUUUUGUUAUCAGAUUUAAAUUUUUUGUUAUAAAAAUAUACAAAUUAUCAAAAAACUAUAUGAGUCGAAAGCAUCAUUUAAUAUACAUAUCAAUAUUAAAAAUACACUAUAUAUAUGUUAAUGUCAUUUAAAUUUAAUUAUAUACCUUAUAAAAUAGAAAAGGUGAUUGUUUGCAUUUAUGAAAUUUAUUUAUGUAUUCACACCAAUUUAAUUAUAUAUAUAAUAGUUACUGACCUUUUAGUUAUUCAAUAUAUAUUUAUUAUUUCAUAAAUAUAUAAAUGAACAUAUAAUACAUAAAAUAGUAUAUAUAAUGUUAAUCCCGAGCCGUCUUAACCUAGCUAUGGUUUAUAUUUCAUAUUGAUAAAACCGAUUGUACUAUGUGUAUAUAAACUAGGCCUGAAACUUUUUAUCCAAAAUACGGAUUCGAUCCGGAUCCUAUCCGAAAAUCCGGAUAUCCGGAGGGGCCGAAUCCGGAUCCGGAUAAUAAAAUGUUGGAUCCGUCAAAUCCAGAUCUGGAUAUUUUAAUUUUUUAGUUCGUAUAUCUGGAUCCGUAAGUUUUAUUAAUAACUAUUUCAAAAAUAGUAAUAUCUAUAUAUAAACAUUAAUUUUAUUUAAUAUAUUUUCAAUUUUAUAAUAGUAUAUAUAAAUUUUAUGUAAACUUUGUAAUAUUAUACAUAGAAAUAGUUAAAAACAUUAUAUAGAUUUUUAUUUUAAAAUUAUUGUUAAUAUUUUAUAUAUAUUGAUAUUAUUUUUUAUUUAUUUUAAGGAUCCAAAUCCGGAUCCGGAUAUCCGUCGGAUAUUACAAUUUUUAGAAGGAUAUCCGACACUUAGAUAUCCGAAAACCCUGGAUCCGGAUAAGGAUAGUAAAAUUAUGAAUCCGCCGGAUAAGGAUCCGGAUAACUUAAAAUUGCUCGGAUACCCGAUCCGUCCCAGACCUAAUAUAAACACAUUCUCUUCAUGAACUAAGAAAAUAGUUUACCAAAUAUCUAAAUCUGUUUCCUGAUUAGGGUAUCAGAAUUUAUUAUAUAAGAAAAUAUUAUUUUAAUUAGUUUUUGGUUUAUUUGGUAAAUAAUUAGAAUUGACAAAAAAAAACCUUUUUUAAUAUUAAAAUCAACCCAUAAAGAGCAUAACGGAACAAACUUCCGGUUAGCCAUUGGAUAAACAGUAAAACUCGAUAAUAGACUAGGCUUAUCACUAAAUACAUGGAAAAGUAAACGAAAAAAUAGUGGGAGGGAAAGAAUCUCGGCUCAAGGAACCUGUCACCAAUCAUCGCCAGAGAAAACCUUUUGUUUUUGAUUCUUAUAUAAAUUAAAUGACUAUUUUGCUUUUAAACAACGUCAUUACAUCAACAAAUUUAACGGGUGUAGGCUUUUGCCAAAAAAAUUCGAAAUCAAAAGUUUUAUUUACAUAAUAUUAUAUUUGAUGUAAAUUAAAUAUGAACAUAUUUUAAGUAUGAUUUGGAUACAGUCAGGGGCGUCCCUUGGCACAGCCAACUGAAGCAUUGGCCUAGGGCCCCCAUUUUUUAAGACCUCCAUUUUUAAAAGUUUUAUUAUAAUUUUUAUAAAUAAUUUUGGAUUUUACUGUUUUGUAAAGUAAAAAAAAUAUACCAAUGUCAAAAUGAAUUAAAUUCAGUCCAUUACUAAUAUGUCAGUGAAAAAACAAAAUAAUAUUAAUAUGGAAACAUUAAAAAUAAAAUGAAUCCACAAUUAGAUAGGCCCCCAAUUUACUUUUUGUUUAUGGCCUCCAUAACUCUAGGGACGCCCCUGGAUACAGUCGUGGAUAACUUAAAGUCUGGUUCAGGAAGAUGUUAAUAAACUUAAGAUUUUUGUGCAUCAUUCAUUACAAAUACAAUCAUAUUUAUGUUUGGUAACUUCAAAUUUGUUUUAUAUGUAUUUGUAGUAUUUCAAAUAGUUUGAUUCACACUUCAUUUUCUGAAAAAUAUUUACAGAAAGAAAUGGAGAUCUAAAAUCCAUUUCAUCGUUGUCCAGUCACGACAACCGUUUUUUUUGGUUGGCACCAUAGUGGCCUUGUGAUUAAGUAUUAGAGUAACAUUAUUAAUUAGGUUCAAGAUUUUUCUAGCCCCUUUUUAUAUGUGAAAUUUUCAUAGCGGCUCCUUUUUUUUGUGCAUAAUAAAAACAAUAAAUAUAUGAAAAUUAUAAUGUCAUUAUUAAUUAAUUCCGUUUUUAUUGGAGACUAAAUAAAUGGACUAAACUAGAUUUCUUAGCUUAUACAAAGUUCUAAAUAGAUGCUAUUUUUUUAUUUGGAUUCUUUUUUUUGCUGAGCAGUUUUUUUAUAUCAAACAAACCUCUCCAAAAAGUAGAAUUUUAAUAAUAGUUUUUAUACAUAUUAAAAAUUAACUUUUUGCAAAAACUUCUUAAUACUUUGAUUAAUGUGAUUAUAUACCUAUUUUCAAUAACUAUAAAUUAAUAAUAUUUUGAUAACUUUUCUUAGUUUUUAACCAGGUUUCAUAAGAGUCAUAAAAAAUAAUAUAAAGCAUAUCUUAUAUAUCUUAUAUCACAACACAACUUUCUGUAUAAUAUCAUAUGGAUUUUUGUAUAAAAAUAAACUAUACCAUAAUUUUCUUCUGUUUAUGGGUAAAACAAAUAAUGUUUUUGCUAAUGAUAAUUUCCUUUUAAAAAUAUCAUUCUUCUAUAGCUUAUUAGUAUAAUAUAGAUGAAAAGCUAUAUUUGCCUUUUUAAAAAUAGUUUUUAGCUUAUUAAAAUAGCAUUCUUUUACUGUAUUUAUUUAUUCUUAAUUCUUAUGGCUUUGCAUGUAUAGAACUUUGUGUUAGGAUCUAACAUGAAAUUAAUUUAAAUAGUGUCACAAUUUUAUAUAAGUUUUGCAGAUAAUAAAAUGAUUAUUUAUUAAAUUAUUGUUGGCUAUAGUUAUAUAAAAAACUAUCACAUAAAAUAAUGUAUUUCUAGUUAAAUUAAAAUUUUUAAAUAGUGGGAAAACUUAAGAUCUUAUAUUAAUCUGAAAUAGGGGAAACAGUAAAACAAACUUUAAGUUAUCAAACAUGAAAACAUUAAUUAUAACUAUGUACGAAAUCAAUGUACUAACCAAUGGUGGUAGUCCAGUGGCGCUUGAGAGAAAUAAACUCAAUACGGUAAACCCUGGUUCGAACUCCGAUGGCCACACAGAUAUGGAUUUUCGCUUUCGGCUCAUUUAAAUGUCUAGAAAAGAGUUUAUCUGUGGGUUGGUUAAGUGUGUGUUUUUAAUAAAUUCAGGUUUAAUCCGUUUUUUUUAAUCAAAAAAAAAGUUAUCAAACAUGAAUCAUAACUAUGUCCAAAUCAAUGUACGCUCCACAAAAAAGUUAAGUUAAUAUAUAACUUGCUGAACCAAAAUUUAAGUUAUCUAUAUGGACCGUGGCGUACGCUUUGAUGGGAAAAAUAUACAAAAAAAGCAUUGGCUCAUAAUAAAGUGAGUACAUAGACAUGUAUGAUAUGGACCUGACCAAAGGACAAGCUACCCAAAUGAGCGAUUAUGACAUAUAGUUUGAAAGGAUAUAUUUUUACUUAAGUUUUCAUAUUUUUUUAGCAAUAUUAAUAUGUAGACAGAAAUUAUGAUUCAUUUAAUAAUAGUAAUAUUUUAAAGAAGUUUUAACACUGUUUAUAAAACCUUUUGAUAAAAAUAAAUUUAGUAAAAGUAUUGUUAAAUAAUAAUUAUUUUUAAAAGUGAAAUUUUGUAUUACUUGAUUAUGGUAAGAUUAUGAUUGAUUAUAUUCAAAUGUUUAUGAGAACAUUGACUAACAUUACUAUACAAUUAAUUCCAUGUAGCUAUCUUCAUUAAUAGAGUUUUCGUAGUUUGAAUUUUUUGACUCUUAUUAUAAAUAUAUAUAUAUAUAUGAUAUUAGAUAUAAAUAUAAAAGAUGUUGAAAUUUUGCUUAGUGCAUCCAAACAAGUAGAAGAGAGUAACGAGUACCUAGUUCCAGGUAAAUAAAGGAACUGUUGAAUUUAUUGGAUUAAGAGCAUCUCUAAUAUAUUUUCUUUUUUUAAAAAAGAUGCAUUUUUUGUGUUUUAGACAUAUUAAAAAGUUCAUUUAAAUUAUAAAUACAACAAUGAUUAAUUAUUUCUUAUAAUUUAAGCCAAUUGAAAUGUUAUAAACACAAUUUAUUUUUGUGAUUUUUAAAUUUUUACGAUAAUAAAAUGUGUAAUUUUUUGUUGAUAUACCUUAUUGGCUGAUCCGGUCAGUAUCAAGAAGAAUGCACUUAGUGAUAUAGAGUAGAUUAGCUAUCACAUUGUCUGAUCUGAGUUUAGAAUGCCUUUUGACUAAUGUCAUAAGGUGGAUCGAUCAUCUGUUAGUCCACAAUGUCAACCGCAUGUGUAGAAGCCCAACCCAGACUAGCGGAGUAAUGAUAAUUUAGUAUAUAAAAUAUAAAAAAUGCAUAAAUUAUAAAAAUAUAUUUGAAAACAAUUUUCGAAAACAUUGAUCUUUCUGAAACAGAAAAAAAUUCCUUUAUUUUUUUUGAAUAUGAGAAUAUCAUAAUAAAAAUGUGUUUGUUUCCAGUGUAUUUUAUCUCUAAUUUCCUAUAAAAGUAAUACUUUAAUAUAUUCUAUUGUCAUUAUAAAAAAUAUUUUUUAUUUAUAAAAGUUGAAAACUAACCUCAUUAUUUUAAAAUUUUGCAAGAAUUUUAUAAAAUUAUGAUAUUUAAAUAAAAUAUUUCUGUAAGAGAUUAUUAUGUAAAUAAGAGGCGUGACUCUAUUUCAUAAAAUUGUAUUCUCUAAAAAUAUUUACUAUAAUUAUAAUUAUAAGAAUGUAAAGCUUCACGGAUCAUGUAGAAAAUAACAAAUGUGUCUCUAUGAUUGAAAAAUGUUGUGUUUUCUCUAAAUUUGAGGAAAAGAGAGAAAUCUCUAUUUUAGAAAAGGAAGUAGAGGUGUAUUGAAUAUAUUUUCUUCUAUCAUAGAAUUUAAAGGUGAAAAUAGCAAUGAGUUGAAAAUGUCAUAAGUAUUCGUCUUUGAAUGGUUUUAUUGAAGUAAAGCAUUCUCUCAUUCUAGGCAGGGCCGGCUCAUUGGGGGGGACAAGCGGUGCGACUGUCCCGGACCCAAGCUCGUGUCCCCCGUAUAAUACUAAUUAAGGGGUUCAAUUUUUUUUAUAAAUCUAUAUUUUUAUAUAUAAAAAAAUAUAAAUAUAAUAAAUAAAAUUAAAAAGGGUCCAAUAUUAUUUGAUAUGUAUAUAAUUUUAUUUUUAUUACAAAAUACAAAAUAUUAACGAUUAAAUUUUAAAAAUAUUUUAAACAUUAUAUGUAUAUAAAUUUUAGAAGGUAAAUUUUUUUUUUCUCUAGGGCCUUUAACACUGUUGAGCCGGCCCUGAUUCUAGGGAGGGUUAGAGUCUAAGAUUUAAAGAAGAUGGUAGUAUUGGCUUGGAGAGAUGAUUGUGAAUUUAAGAUAGGAGAAAUAUCAAGAGUCCAUCAGCAUGAGAAACGAGAUGCUGCUAGUUCGACGGAGAACAAGACACGGAGAAGAUCUCGGAAGCUGCGGGAUCUGGGGAACAAGAAGAAGAGAAGAAGGAUGAGAAUAAAAGGGAGGAAGGCGCAGAGAGGAGGAGACAUACGAAACCCUAGAGACGUAGCACCCUAGGUACGACCACCACUACCUCGAGCUCUCAUUCUCUCACUCUCCAAACCUUGUUCUUAGUUCUUAUUUCUUGUCAGUUGUAACCAUAUCUUUCUAUAGGGUAGAUUUUGCAUGAACUACAUCAUGUAGAUAAACUUGAACAUUUGUUUGUAACAAAAACAUUUGGCACAUGUUGUGUCAUAUCGGCUUGAUAGCAAAAAAGGAGUGAUUUCACUGCCACAAGUGAUUUCAGAUACGCUUUCUUCCGUAGCACCUUUAUCCCUUUCAGAGACUCUUUGAUGUUUUCCCAGCAAGUAUCCACAAUGGCAAUCAGUCCGGUUGAGCUGCGCAAGGAUUUUUUGCUCUUUCUCAAACAUGCCCAUGCACAUGUGGAUUAUAGCUUCUUUGCGUCCAGCGCGAGCGGCAACGGAGAAGUGAUGGAGAGCAAGAAGUUACUGUCAGAAUGAAAGUAUUUGAGUAUACCUCUGAUGUAGUGGGCUUCUGGGUUGUUUUUUGCCAAGCAUCUCAACAUCAAACCGGUGUAUCGGGUUGCUAGUAAUGGUUUCUUAACCAGUGGUGAGAAGCUUAGAUUUUGGCAAACAUGGUAGUCCUAAGAUGAGAGGUAUAAUUGGGAAAAAAAAAAGAUGAGAGGUAUAAUUCCUUGCAUGAACAGGUUGUUGUGGCAAUUUCUUUUUUUUUUUUUUUUUUUUGUUGUGGCAAUUUCUCCAAGCAAACCUUGAGGCAGUGCUUCCAGCCGGCUCAUCUCCGCCUUGUUUGGGUCCAUGGUGCGUGAGUGUUUAGGUUUCUUCAAUUUUGUUAUCUGUAUUGUGAUGAUUCAUUUAUAUAGCAAUAUCCACAGCUGUUCAGACUCCUAUAUACGCGUAGCCACACAAUGAAAUGUAGAAAAGUGUCUUUGAACCUAUGUUACUUAGCAAUCCAAAGCUUGUUCUCUAUAAAAUGUUAGUAUCUACUUUGUUAUCAAUCAGUAUACACUUAACGACCUCUCAACUUAUUGUAACAGACUAGUUUAGAUGCUUAUACGUGUACAGAGACCACACACUCACCUAGAUUAAAGUAUUGUACAUUCUACUUUUAAUGUUAAUGAGAAAGAUACAUUCGAUUACUUUCUAUUAUUUGUAGUAACUUUCAGAAAAAAAGCAUUGAAUCUUGCCACGUAGUCAAAUCCCCACCCACACCAAGAGUCGAACAUUGUAAACAAGCACCACCCAAUGACCAAACAUUUGACCACAUUUGUUUGUUUACCUUAACAGUUCGGUGAGCAUUAGUAUCACAUACUUCAUACCACAUGGAUCCAAUUUAACCUCAACUAUUCAAAUUUCAGCACGUGGUGGCCAUGCCUUGGCCAGGAAGAGGCCACAACCUCUGCAAACGCCUCGUCCGGCGAGACCCUAACCUCCAGAUCACAUACGUUGUCACUGAAGAAUGGCUCGGCUUCAUCGAAUGCGACCCGAAACCCGACCAAAUCCAUUUCUCCACUCUCCCCAAUCUUAUCCCUUCCGAACUCUCCCGGGCCAAUGACUUCUUCGGCUUCGUCGACGCCCUCUAGACCAGAUUGGAGGAGCCGUUCGAGAGGCUUCUUGACCGCCUAAACUCACCGCCUCCCACCGUAAUCAUCUCCUACAUUAACGUCCGUUGGGCGGUGAGAGUCGCCACACGAAGGAAUAUUCCGGCGGCAUGUUUGUAGACUUCGUCGGCCACAAUUCUCUCAAUUUUCCUUCACUCCGAUCUACUCACAACUCACGGCCAUUUUCAGAUGCUGACGUUUCCUUUGGUCUGGGAUCAGUUUUUGAAUGCUAAGAUGAUUGUUGAUAAGGAGAGACGAGGUCAAGGAACUGGUGAAAAGGUUUAUGGAUGGAGAGACUGAAGAAGUGAAAGAUAUGAGGAGAAGGGCUUGUGAUCUCAGUGAGAUCUGUCGUGGAGCUGUUGCAAAAGCCGUUCUUCAGAUGUUAAUAUCGACGCUUUCAUUAAAGAUAUAACCAUAUGAUCGUGUGAAUUUUAUGUUGUAUUUUGGUUAACAAGAAAAUAAACAGAACUCUACGAGUUAUAUCAGUGACGAUGAAUUAAAUAAACGAAACAAAAGCACUAAACGAAUAACUAGAGAAUGCUUAGUGCUGAUGAGGUAGCAUACGCUUGAGUAAUUAAACUGGUCCACAGGUGCGACUACUAAUGGAAGCUUAAGCCCAUCCUUACUACAAUGAGCGGCCGUUGAGCUAAUAAAGUAGUGGAUUCCAAUUAUAGUGAGCUUGACAAGAUCGUGGCCCCGUCUUGUACACAGCUAUUGGAGAAGCAGGGUCGCAGGAUUUGAAUUCAAGGUUCUUGCUUGGAGGUGGUGGAGGAAUCAGACGUUACGGUUCAUUAAAAAUGAUUCUACUAUUUUUUAAAAAUAUUAAGCAAAUAAAUUAAUAUAUCAUCAUUUAACAGGAAUAUUUUUUUUUUUUUUUUUUUUGCCAAGGAUGUGAAUAUCAUAUAAAUAUGAAAGAAGUUUGUAAACUUUACAAAAAACUAAAGCCAGACUGGGUGCACUUUGGCAAAAAAGAAUAAAAACAAAGUGAAACCCAUAUGAGAAGAAGAUUUUCUAGACAUUUCUUAGCCAUGAUAGCAUAAGUGUUUUGAAGCUCUUCUUGAUUUUUUUCUUCCCCAAGAUCGUGUCUCUGAUGUUGCGGUCUAUGAGCUUGUAGAUCGUUGGAGGAGUUGAGGAGAUUCCCUGGUGUAGGCGUUUAUUCCGCUCUGCCCAAAUGUUGUAGAUAGUUGCAUGAGCAACCAGCUUCUUGAGAAUCAAAGGAGUAGUGGAGUCCUUUAGAGAAAUCCAUUCAACAAAAGAAGUCCAAGUCAUGAAGGCUGAAUGUGUAUAGCCCAACCGUUGAAGAACCAGUUUCCAAAUCUGUUCACUGAUUUCACAACCCAGAAGAAGAUGAUCUCUUGUUUCCAGAGCUGAAUCACAGAGACAGCAGCUUGUAGAAGUCCCUAGACCCCAGCUUGAUAGUCUUACCCGUGUAGGCAUUCUAUCAUUAUGCGCAAUCCACAUGAGGAAGGCGUGACGAGGCGUGGCCAUCUUGAACCAUACACUGGUGGACCAAGAGACUAACGGUGCUCUGUUUCGAAGCUCUUCCCAAGUUCGAGAGGCAGAGUAACGAGGCAUAGCAUCACCAUCAAUAACCCAGUGAAACACAUCAUCAUCUUGAGAGAGUGAAGGAAGAAUAAUACCCGUGAGAUAAAUUUGAAGGCUUUCUGCAGCAAGAGAUCGAGCGCCUCUCAACCGCCAGCCAUUCUCAUCACAAGUAUCAGCGACUGAAGCAUAUAAAGGAAUGCAGAGUUCUCUAGGGCCCGAGUCGCCAAAUAAUUCAAUCAAGCGACCAAGAGGCGUCCAAAUGUCCCACCAAAAACUAAUUUUCUGUCCAUUCCCAAGAUUUGCUUUCAAAAAGUUUGAAGCUAUAGGGCGCAAGUUCAGUAGAGAUCUCCAUGUCCAAGAUCCUGCCUUUUUAGCUUCUAAGCUCCAGAAGCUUUCAUCUCCAAUUUUGUAUUUCCUGAUCCAAGAAGCCCACAGUGACGGGUUUGGUGUAUAUAACAUCCAAAUAAGCUUUAGGCAAAGAGUCUUGUUCCACGUCUCAAAGUCCCUGAGCCCCAGUCCUCCUUCUUUUUUUGGUAAGCACACUGUACUCCACGCAAUUUUCGCUACUCCUUUGCGAGUGAUAUUUCCAGUCCACAGGAAACAAGAGCACAGACUCUGGAUUUGUUUGAUGCAUCCUUUUGGGAGAACAAACGCAGAUGUCCAGAAAUUUAUGGUACCAUAGAUAACCGAAGAGAUCAACUGAGCACGACCAGCAUAAGAUAGCUUCUUUGUAGACCAAGCAGUAAAAUGUCCCUUGAUUUUUUGGAGCAGUGGUCUGUAGUUGGAGAUCUGCAGCUUGCGAUGCAUAAGAGGGAGGCCCAAGUAGCGGACAGGCAUUGAACCGAGGUUGAACCCGAGACUAGUAAGGUCAGUAGUUUCAGCCUGAUUCAAGCCUCCAACGAAGAGUUCCGUCUUGUCCUUAUUCAUUCUUAAUCCCGACCAUGUGGCAAAUAACUCCAUAGUAUCAACAAUGUUUUCAAGGGAGCUUUUCUCACCAUCAAAGAAUAUCAUAAUGUCGUCAGCAAAAGCCAGGUGCGUAGCCUCAAUCUCUGAUGUAUUGGGAUGAUAGCCAAUGUCUCCUACUCUGAAUUUUGCAUUUAGCAUUUGGGAAAAGACCUCCAAAGCGAUAACAAAAAGAUAGGGAGAUAGCGGGUCUCCCUGACGCAAUCCCUUUGUUCCUUUAAAAUACCCACAAAGCUCUCCAUUCACUGAAACAGAAAAUCUGGUGGUGGAAAUACACUGAGAAAUCAGUUUCCGAAAGUGAGAAGGAAAACCGAGAGCCUCUAGCGUGUUCAAGAUAAAAUCCCAGUUGAUCGAAUCAAAUGCUUUUUGCAGAUCAACCUUCAGCAUACAUCGCUUUGAGAUAUCUUUCCACUUAUACCCAGAGACAAGCUCUGUAGCUAACAGCACAUUCUCAACCAGAAGGCGCCCCGGUACAAAGGCUGAUUGAGAAGAAGAGAUGAGCUUUGGCAAAGCUGCUUUUAUUCUGUUCGCAAGAAGCUUAGAGGCUACCUUGUAGACAGUAUUGCAACACGAUAUUGGCCUAAACUCAGUCAUCUGAUUCGCAUUAGGCUUCUUGGGGAUCAGGGAGAUGAUAGUCGAGUUCCAUUGCUGUAGGAGACAGCCUGUAGUCAGAAAUUCUUUGAUCGCUGCUAUCAUAUCCGUCCCAACCACACUCCAGUUCGCUAUGAAGAACUCCGCAGGGUAACCGUCCGGGCCAGGAGCUUUGGACUUUGGAAGAGCAAAGAAAGCUGUCUGAAUAUCGAGAUCGCUGAAACCUGCAUCAAGGAGACUCACAGCCUCAGGAGAGCAACGAAGAGGCAGGAAAGAGGCGAUAACAGAAGGAGAAGGAGCAGCUGAUGAAGUUGGGCCGCCGAGAAGAAGAGUGUAGUAAUCAACAGCAUGCUCUUUUAUGUCCUCAAUCCUAUCAAUAAUAGUUCCAUCCCUGCCUAGCAGAAACACAAUUUGGUUUUGAGCUUGCCUUGAUUUAAUUAUUCUGUGAUAAUAUGCAGUGUUUGAAUCUCCAUCGACAGACCAUUGAACCCUCGAUCUCUGCUUCAGAAAGGAAUCCUCAGCCUUUGCUAGCACAUGCCAACGGUGAUGCGCAUCUCUCUCUAAAUUAGUAGCAGUAGGCGAUGGGUUAUCAAGAGAGUUUGCUUGAGCAAGACAAAGAUCCGUGAAAGCUUCUUCAACCCGUUGCUCCAGAUGAGAGAAGUGUUCUCUACUGAAGGAUUUAAUAACUCCCUUAAGCUCUUUCAACUUUUUAGAAACUCUUAGCUGAUUAGUACCAUGAAAAUCCAAAGAGUUCCAACAGUUACCAAGGAUCUCAACAAAAUCCUCAUGCUGAUUCAGGUGAGCGAAAAAUUUAAAGGGUCGUUUCUGCUUUGGCCUGUGUUGGUCAAGAAAAACACAGCAUGGAGAGUGAUCAGAAAUACCCGGAACUCCGAAGACUCCAAUAGAUUCCGGAAAUUGCUGGAGCCAAGCUGAAUUAGUGAGAAUUCUAUCCAGCUUUUUUGACACAUGUCCAUUGGACCAAGUGAAAGAGUUCCCACAGUAAGGAAGGUCAAAGAGAGAGCAUUCGUCAAUGCACUCCUUGAAGUCCCUCAUGCCCCGUGGGAAAGAGAAUUGGUCAAUCUUUGAGUGUUCUGAAGGAUCUAAUAUUUCAUUGAAAUCACCAUAGGUAAGCCACGGGACGUUUACCAGCUGCGGAAGUGAGGAGCAUGCUUCCAAUUCUUGCCAAAGCGUGCGUCUCUCAAUCCUGCAAUUUGAACCAUACACACAGGAGAUUGCAAUUUCAUUUCUGACAUUUGGGAGCUUCACAAGACAAGUAGUCAUUUGACGUGAGCUCGAGAUGAUUUUGACUUGAACAGAUGGGUGCCAAACAACCCAAAUUCUUCCGAUAUCCGAGUGAUCGUAAUUACUGUGAAAAGACCAACCCGGUAGAAUAGAGUUCAAAAUAGCAUCCGACUUAGGUAGCAGUACAUGAGUCUCCACGAGACCACCAAAAAUAGGUUUAUUCUUCCGCAUCCAUUUCCUAAAACCCCUCCGCUUUACAGAAUCAUUUAUUCCUCUUAUAUUCCAACAAAAAAGAUCCAUAUAUAAGAGGUAAAAUUUAGAGGAUUAAAGGGCCUCCUGCCCUAGCCUUUCCUUUUAACUGUUUCUUCAUUCUUCGAGAAAUGACUUCGAUGUAUUUAUCAUCUCCGUCACCCGGAUCCUCAUCACCCGAAAAGUUACUACCAUCAGAAACAUGACCAGAUGAGAUGGAGUUUUUUGAGGAAUAAGGGGUUAAAUCAACGACAAGGCCACCUUCAACCAGAUCAUUAAUCUCGACAGCCAACGUCUGGGAAUGAAGAUUCACAUGCUGAGAGUGGUGGCUGAUAGGAGACACUGAUCUUUGCCUGUUCUCCAAGGACUUCGAGCGCUGUGGAAGUGAAGGAGGAUUAGUCCGUAGUAAAGGAGAAUUAGCCCGAGCUGGAGUAGACCGCUCUGAGGGAAUAUCAGACCGUGCUGGAGGGACAGAAGAAGAGGCCGUCGCACCCUUGUUCUUAUCUCCCACUGGUCUGUAGACUUUUUUUGUCUGAGAGACAAUUGGUAGAAGGCUUUUUAUAGGAGCCUUUCCUCUUGCCUUUUCGCGGUUAUAUCUCGAGCAAUCAACCGUUAGGUGCUUGACAGAGUUGCAGAGAGUACAUGUCUUAGGCGCAUCCUUACAGCGGGAGAUGGUAUGACCGACUUUCUUGCAAAAGGAGCACAAUGACGGCAUGAAGGGGCUAGAAACAGAUAUGCGUCGAGUAUCUCCACUCUCAAACCGUGCAUUGACAAAGUUUGGGAGAGGCUUUCGAGGAUCAAUAACAGUGUAGACCUUUGCCACUUCAAUGUCGAUAAGUUGCUCCGUUGACGGAUGAAGGCAAACAGGGUGGCCCACUAUUCCUGCAAUUUCUUGCAAAGCAUCUUGGUUGAAGAACUGAAGCGGAACUCCUCUAAGCUCGAGCCAAACCGGCACCAUCUCGAGCUCAGGUUUAACCUGUUGAAGGCCUGGAGACCACUUGGCUACAAACAUCGUUUGCCCAUCGAUCUGCCAGAAGUUCUGAGCAAGGAUGCGUCUACGGGCAUGAGGACAGGGUACACGGAAAAGGAAAGCUUGAUUAUCCAUCUUCGAUACCGUGAUGUCUCUACGGUGUUUACUCCAAAUUCCAUUUACAAUUGCAUGAACGGCACCCCGGGCAGGGGCGUCGUUGUAGAACUGACCAAGGAUAAAGCAUUCCCAGGCUUUUUUGUUCUUUUCAACAACUGCAUUUGGAAUGGUAACGCACGGUUCACCAGAGUCCAGCAAGAACGGCUUCUCCUUCGGUUGAAGUUUUAUAGAAGCUUCCUUCACAAAACCUUUCCAGAGUUCUGCAGGGCUGGGACUCGAUAGAGGAACAGUGGACUUUGCAGGAGAGGAACCGUUGCUGGUCAUUCUAUCCUGAGAGGAUUUCAAGUCUGUUCCCGUUUCCUUUCCAGUGUUUGCAUCAACAGUGGUGUCGGGAAUUGUAGGUCUAGGUACAGCAUUCGAUUCUGUAGCUAGGUUUUCGAGAUUGGGGGUUUCAAUCUCCAUGGCCAGAUCCACUACAGUAGCAGUAGUCUGGGCAUCUUUGACUGGGGAAAAGUCAGGAUCGACCUUUCCAGUAACGGAGUCGGAGCCAGCAGCGUGUGGUGAGACAGUGCGAGGCUUGGACGCAGAGGUGGAGCGAGAGGCAGAGCAGGGGUGAGUGGUUGAACGGUUUGGUGGCUUUCCUUUGGGUGGCUUCUUUUUUGCCAUGGCCGCAGGGGGUGACCGGCGCCGUAGACGGCGACGGAGGAGGUGAAACGAAGUGGUUUUCAGUUUGGGAGAUUUUUCGCACAGGCGCGUGAGGCGUUCUCCUAUUUAACAGGAAUAUUUCAGCUUUCCCUUUUCUCUCUUGUUUGUUGUCGUAAACUGCCCUUUCCCAUUUAACAGGAAUAUUGAAAGGGCAGUUUACGACAACAAACAAGAGAGAAAAGGGAAAGCUGAAAUAAUACAAUUUAAUAUUCGAUUUAAAAUAUAUGAGAAUACUUUCAAAGUUUUCAGUCUGUAAUUACUUGAGGGAAAAGGUAAGUAAAAACGAGAAAUUGCAUUAACCUAAACGAAUAAGGAAAAUAAGGCGGUGCACCAAACCCUCUAUAUAAACACUCUACCACCCCCUCUUAAUUUCCAUAAAACAAGCUCAAAACUUCAACAGAUCUCUCUCAAACUUGUUGUCCUUACAUCGUUUAAUUCUUUUGUUCCAGAAAAAAAAAAAAAGAACCAAAACAUCGAUCAUGACUUUGAUUAGGAGCAACACCUUCUUCACUUCUUUGAUGAUUCUUCUCGCUCUCUUUGGAGUUGCCUUUGGAGGAACAGUGCACAAAGUGGGCGACUCAAGCGGAUGGACCAUGAUGGGUGUUAAUUAUGAAGCCUGGGCUUCUUCAAGAACUUUUCAAGUCGGAGACUCUUUGGUUUUUGAAUACAACAACGGUUUUCACGAUGUCACAGAAGUCACUCACAAUGAUUUCGAGCUGUGUGAACCGUCUAAACCAUUAGCUAAAUAUCAAACAGGAUCAGAUACGAUCAGUCUAACAAAACCGGGAUACCAAAACUUCAUAUGCGGGUUUCCUAGUCACUGCGACAUAGGACAAAAGCUUCAAAUCCUUGUCCUACCAGCCUCGUUGGUUCCCGUCGCAGCUCCAGUUCCCGGACCAGUUCGAUCACCUACUACCUUCUCGUCAUCUCUUUCACCGGUCAAUAAUGUUCCACAACAUCAGAUGGGUCCACCACCAACUCCACAUAGCUCAGCUGCAACCUCUAGUGUUUGGAUCGGAUUCAGCUACUUUCUACUUUCUCUUUUCAUCUUAGUUUGAUAGAUCAUUCGCAUAAUAUUUUUUCCUUUGUCAUAUCUCUAAGAAUCUUUCUAUUUUUGUAUUUUCUUGAUGAUUAAUAAUAAUUAUUUAGUUUUAUAUGGUGUGAACAAAUUUUAGUAUCCAUUAAAAGUUAUUCAGAUUUAAUUUAAUUUAAUUUUUACUAUUCAUAUAAUAAAUUUUAAACGAUACCAUUCAUGUUAACGAUUAGGGAUAAGUUUGAUGUUAGAUUAUCUUAUCGAAUUUCAUAGUCUAUAUAUCAUUGUGUUUGUGUUAAGAGUUAAUAAAUCCUAUAGUUAGUCAUCUCAGGUACUUUAAUUUUCUCAUAAACGGCGUUGGUGUUAGGUACAAUAGGGAGAUAGAUGCUCAAAUAUGUCAUGAUAACAGCACACCAAGUUACUCGUUUGCUUGAGUUCUUUACAACUAUAGCAGUUUCUAUUUUUUCAAUAAACUUUUUUUCAACUAUAAGAAGUAUCUGUUAAUUACAAAAGAUUUUCUAUAUUGUUUUCUAUUUAUAGAGAAAUAUAUUUUCCACAAAAAAAAAGAAAGAGAAAAGGUUAUCUAUACGGCCGGAUAUAAUGAACAAAACAGUAUUUUUAAUGGAUGUUUGGCCAUCAAUAUUAGUUAAAACUUUAUAAGAUUUCUACUUCAAAAAUAAUAUUAGAAUGAUAUCUAUGAAUGUUAUAGUGAGAAAUAUUAGGAGAGGUUCUCAAAAUUAUAUAAAAAAAAAAUUCAAAGUUGUAGUCUCUUUCUCUCAUUCUUUUUAUUUUUUUUAUUUAUUUAUGAGAAACUUUUCAAAAAAAAAAAACUCAUCAAUGAGAAUGCUUUAUCCUUACAACUUGAUUAUUUAUUCCCUCAGCUCUAUGUUUGAUCAAGUUACCCUAAAAAUUUAUACAUAAUAUCUUACUGUAUUGAUAUUAAGUAACUUGAGUGAAAAGGAAAAUUAACGGAAAAGGAAAAUUGUUAAAAGCGCUACACCAGGAUCUCUAUACCUCCCUAACUUACAAACUCAAAACUUCAAUUAUCUUUUCAACUCGUGUUCGUUCGUUGUGGUUAAUUAAUUCCCUCGUAUCGCAAAAUAUAUAAGAACUUACAACAUUGGUUAAUAUGGCUUUGAUCAAGAGCAACGCCUUCUUCACUUCUUUGAUGAUUCUAGCUCUCUUUGGAGUUUCUUUUGGAGGAACCGUACACAAAGUAGGCGACUCAAGCGGAUGGACCAUGGCGAACGUCAAUUACGAAGCUUGGGCUUCUUCAAAAACUUUUCAAGUUAGGAGACUCUUUGGUUUUCGAAUACAACAAUGAUUUUCACGAUGUCAUUGAAGUCACUCACAAUAAUUUCGAGCUGUGUCAACCGUCUAAACCGUUAGCAAUAUACCAAACCGGGUCUGAUAGGAUCAGUCUAACCAAACCAGGAUACCAAAACUUCAUGUGGUGUUCCUGGUCACUGCAAAAUAGGACAAAAACUUCAAAUCCUCGUCUUUCCGGUCUCAAUGGGUCAUGUUGCGGCUCCAGUUCCUAGACCGGAUCACCUAGUACAUCUUCGUCAUCUCCUUCACCAGUUAGUAAUGGUACACAGUAUCAGAUAGGUCCAUCACCAGCUCCACAUAGAGCAGCUUCAAUAUCUAUUGUUUGGAAUGGACUCAGCAUAUUCUUUCUACUUUCUCUUCUCAUCUUAGGUUGAUUAGAUCAAUCACAAACGUUUUAUUUCCUUUCUUGUUCUACUUGAUCCUUUUAUGUCUACGUGUGAAUUUUAGGUUUUCUUUAACAUAAUUUUGGAUAAAUUUUAUAUUUAUCUUAUUACAUACUCUUUUAAAUUUAAACUGAAAACAUUAUUUAUAAUUAAAUUUAGUUUUUCCCCUACUCACCUUCUAAGAAACGACUGUUCUGUCGAUUAAAUUUUAUAGAAUUCAUUAGUAUUCUUGAUCAAACAACUGAAGAUUCAAUUAGAAAAUUAUUAUAUUUAUUACAUUGAAUAUUUAGAAUUUGAUUUCGUUAAUUAGAGAAUUAUUUUAAUGAAAUAUUAAAAAUUUAGAUAUACUAAAAAUAAAUAAGACAAAUUUGUGAAUUUUCACAAAAAACAAUAUUAAAUUUAAUUUAACUGAAUUAGAUUUGUCAUAUUUAAAUUGGUAUGGAUCAGUUAAAUCAUAUUUUAAGAAAUUGUUUAUUUUUAUAGAUUUUAAUUUUUUUUUGUGAUUUGUCACUAAAACCAAAAAAGUUAGACGACACCUAAAAGUAUAUAAAGUUAUUUAUUUUGAAUUUUUAAGUUUUUCUGUUAUUUUUAGUUAAUAUUUAACAUGAUUCCAAAUAUUUAUUUUCCUCAUUUCUAUAUGUAUUAUGUUUACUGUUUUUCGCUAUUCAUAAAUUGAUUCCUAAAUUCUUAGUUGAAUUAUUUAUAUUUUAAUAGAGUAAUUAGACACUAGCUAGAACUUAUCUAGAAACUGUAUAUAUUAAAAUAUUUUAAUUAAUAUUUUAUUAAUUUAAAUUUAUUAAAACCAGCUAUGUAUAAUAGUAUUUAAAAAUAAAUUCCAUAAAAAUUUGGGAUUUAAGUCAAAAAAAUAAAUUAGACGUUCUAGAUUAAUAAACAAGCUUUUGAUUAAAAAAAAUAUAAUAGACAUAUUUUUGUCAGUUUUCCCUUUGUUUUUUCUCGUUAUCUAAAACAAAUUAAGACAUAAUAAAUCCUUAGGGGAAAUAAAAGGGAUGUAAAAGCCCAAACCAAGUUUUAGUUUACCCGCCGCCCCCACCUUCCUCUUUGUCGGAGAUUUCAGUUCUCCAAUCUCCAGAUUCGAGAACUGAUCUCGGAACCCUAAUUCAACAAUGGCCACAACAUCAUCCAACGACCUCCGUCCAAUCCCCCAACCACCGGAUUUCCACCCCGCCGUCAUCGUCCCAUCGCAACCCCACGGACUCCGAUUCUGGCAACUCAUGGUCGCCGGCUCAAUCGCCGGCUCCGUCGAACACAUGGCGAUGUUCCCAGUCGACACCAUCAAGACCCACAUGCAAGCCAUCCGCCCCUGCCCGAUCAAGCCCGUCGGAAUCUCUCAAGCUUUCCGAUCAAUCAUCAAAACAGAGGGCCCAUCUGCUCUGUACCGAGGCAUAUGGGCCAUGGGCCUCGGCGCCGGCCCAGCUCACGCCGUCUACUUCUCCUUCUACGAAGUCUCCAAGAAGUAUCUAUCCGGCGGGGAUCCCAACAACUCCGCGGCUCACGCGGUUUCCGGCGUGUGCGCCACCGUGGCGAGCGACGCCGUUUUCACUCCGAUGGAUAUGGUUAAGCAGAGGCUGCAGAUCGGGAACGGGACUUAUAAGGGAGUUUGGGAUUGUGUCGGGAGGGUGAUGAGGGAGGAAGGGUUCAGCGCUUUCUACGCUUCGUAUAGGACGACGGUGCUUAUGAACGCUCCGUUUACGGCGGUUCAUUUCGCGACGUACGAGGCGGUUAAGAGGGGGUUGAGGGAGUUUUCUCCGGAGCGUGUUGGUGGCGGAGAGGAGGAGGAAGGGUGGUUGAUUUACGCUACGGCGGGUGCUGCGGCUGGUGGGUUGGCGGCUGUUGUCACUACGCCGCUUGAUGUUGUUAAGACACAGUUGCAGUGUCAGGUAAAGUUGAAACCUUUGUAACUCUGAAGGACUGGUCUAUAGAGUUUAUAGGUAAACAUAGUUUUGUCUGUGGUGAUGUUUUCAGGGUGUGUGUGGUUGUGACCGGUUCAAGAGCGGUUCAAUAAGCGAUGUGUUCCGGACAAUAUUGAAGAAAGAUGGUUAUAGAGGACUUGCUAGAGGGUGGCUGCCGAGAAUGCUAUUCCAUGCUCCAGCAGCUGCGAUCUGCUGGUCUACUUAUGAAACAGUCAAAUCAUUAUUUCAAGAUGUUAAUGGCGACUCGAACACAGCUUGAAGAAGAUAUAAACAUGAGUUUGGCUUAUAUUUGCUUGCCUGAUUCAGGUAAAUUGAUUCUUCAUAGAGCUGCUGGUUGUUGUUAGUGUUAACGCACUCGCUCGUUAGAGAGUAGUAUCUCUGUUUGUAUAAUGAUUUGUUUUGAAGCAAUAAUAAUGUUAUCAGAUUAGAGUCCCCAUGCUUUUUCAGAUUAGAGAGAUCUUUGUUUGUAUUUUUAUUUGUUCUUUCUAUGAGAUAUACUAAAAGGAAUAGAUAAAGAGUCAAAUUUUCUGAUGAAAAUGUUGUGUGUUCUUUUGUUGCAUUGAAUUGCUUCACAUGCCAUUAUGUUAAACUGCUUGAAGAAGUAAGUAUGUUGCAGAGGCAUGUAAAGUGACAACAUAUAUAUUUACCGAUGCAUCUAGAUAGGUUUGAGCAGGCCCUUGAGAGCUUAGUUGGUAGGGACAGUCAAACUAGUAUUCUUGUGGAGUAGUCGAGAAAAUGAUCGGACUGACCUGCAGAACGAGAAGUAAUCAAGAUCUCUUACUCAAAAGGCUGAACAUGAAACAAAAUAGCAUCUACAGAUGUACAAGAGAAAAGAAAAAAGAAAAAAGAAAAGAAGAUUAAGUCCACAGUCUCCAACAUUGCCUAUAUUCAGAACACCAACUUCCUCAAGCAUGGCUACAAUACUACACCAAUAACCGCAACAUCGAGCUACCCAAGAAGAGACGACAAAACAACAUUCCUAGAUAAACAACAAAGAUGAGAAUAAUUUAAAUCUGAUAUGUACUAAAACGUUUGAAGUAAACAUCCAAACAUCUAGCACCAGUGGUCUAGUGGUAGAAUAGUACCCUGCCACGGUACAGACCCGGGUUCGAUUCCCGGCUGGUGCAAUAAUUGUAGAAGAGCUGUGAUGAUUAUUGGCUUAGCAAUGGUUGGGUCCUUUGCAUUUCUCUGAUAUCUCGGAUGUCAUUGCCAUGUGAUUGAGCUCUUACUUUUUUGUUUAAUUAAGAUGAAAUAUCUUUUUUUUAAAGCUUGUUUUCUGAUUUGCUUUUUCAGAUUAGAGAGAUAUAUAUCUGUUUGUAUCUUUAUUUGUCUCUAUGAGAUUAUAUACUAAAAGGAGUAGAUGAGCUUAAACGAGUCCAUUCAGAAGGAUAAAAUUCAAUUUUUCUAAUGAAUUCAUCUGUUAUUUUAUAUCACUGAAUUGUUCACAUCACGUUUAUACAGUACUAGAACAUAUCACGAAGACGUGAGAAAAUUUUACCAUGAAACAAUCUACUUUUUUCUUUUGAACUUUUUGUUAGAAAACUAAAACUUAACACAGAAUACUGAAAAAAAAAUACACAGAAUACUGAUCAGAUACCAAGAUCUGAAGAACAGAUGCAAAGGUCUUUAUAGUAGAAUAUUAUUACUUUCCGAUUCUUCAAUGUACCAAACCGAACCAAAACCGGAAUUUAUCCGCGCGUAAUAUUCGGCCGGUAAGAACCGGUCUCGACAAAUCGGACAUGUGAUCUUGCGGCAGUCGACGAUCCAACGGUCCAUGCAACGUUUGUGGAACACGUGUCGGCAGUUCGGAAGCUGUCUAACUUUAUCAUCGUAUGCAAAGUCGAAGAGACAAACCGUACAGCAGUCUUCGAGAUCGGUCUGAAGAUCCGAGAAACGAACAACCGGGGAAACCUCGUAAGCGAGAGUCAUGGCCGUGUUGUCGGGUACGAUCGGGCCGGGUCGAGGAAUGCCAUCGUCUAAAAAAUGGGGUAAACCGAUGUAAGGACAGAGAGCGUUGAUCAUGUCUCUGAAGAAACCGAUGACGUGAAGAAUGUUAAAUAUGUAAUCCGGAAUCUCAAGCUCCUUUAUACCCGUCGGGAAACCCAUCGCAGAGAGAGAGAUAGAGAGAAGAGAUGGAGCAAGAGAUGUUUACGGAGACGAAAAUAUUUGUAAACAUAGAUGCUUGGAUUUUAACUGAAGACGGCAAGUAAGGCUAUGAAAUGAGCAAUUGGGAGGGGGGGGACCAAUGAUGUGUGGGUCUACGACAGUAAUAUACUAGUAUAAUUUACUACUUUCUGAUUAUUUUUUAUUGUCUUGGUUAGGUGGAAUAGGUGUGUAGAUCAGAUGGUAGAGCUCUCCUUUGUUGGCAAAGAAAAAGAGGGUUGAGCUCUAGUUUAGCAUUCACACUAGAUUAUUCUUUUUUGUGGAUCCUAAAUCCACGCUAGGUAGCUUAUUCUUUUGUUUAAAAUCAUUAUGUGAUUAUAUAGAUUCAAAUUCUAAGAGUAUUUUUCAACAAUCCCUUUGUUUGAAAAGAAAAUACCUUUAAAAUAAAGGGUUAAAGAGGUGGCUCUCCAACGAUUUUUCUUUAAUUUUUUAUAUAUUACAUUUUAUUCUUGAAUAUUAUCACUAAUUAAAUAUAAAUAUAAUCAUUAAAAUUUCAAAAAUCAAUAAAAUAUACUAUUUGACAUAUAUUAAAAUAUAAUUUUUUUAAGAAAUAUAAUAAUAUGUAGUAAAAUAUAACUAUAGAUAAUAUACAAAGUUUCAACAAUAUAUUAUUAAUCAAAAUAGUUUAAAAAAAUAUAUAAUGAUAAGUACUAAAAUAUGAUAUAUAAAAAGUUAUUCAUACAAUUAUGAGACAUAUAAAUUGUAGGAAUAUUAAACAGUGAAUAAUAUUUUAAGAGAAUCAAUAGUGUGCUUUCUUAAAUUUGAAGGUAUACUAUUUACCUCUUUAAAAUUUAGUAGAAAUGGAUUAUUGAAAUGCUAAAUUCUAUAAAAAAUAAAGGGAUAAAAGAACUAUUUGAGAUCUAAACAAGACCAUCAAUGCCUAUCGUUCAUGUUCCAAUACCGCAUCUUCUUUAGUCACUAGUGGUUUUAAUUGAUUUAGUAGAAUUAUGUAAUAUGUUUUGGCGUAACGCUAAAUUUCGACUUCUUCUAUCUAUAAAACAAUUUAAGAACUUAUGCUACUACAUGUUAGUUUAUUAUUUAUUUCCUAUAAGAGUUGAACUGAAUGUGUAUUUGUACAACAGUACAAGCUCGCUAGAAGAUUAUUUAAUUCUAUUAAGACGUCUUAUAACUUCAAGAUUAUAUGCAUCACACCUGAGGUCUUGGUUAAGCUCUCCGGAAGAUACUAUAGCUUUAACUUCGAGGUAACUUCGAGAUUAUCUGCAUCACAUUGAAACGUUUUCCAUAGUUUAUUAUAGCUUUAACUUCCAGGUAACAAUGCUGUAUUAUUGUUUAGAAACCACGGCCACAUAUGUCUGUCUUCCAAUAGUUUACUUUUGGUUUUUACAAUGGAAGGGUUUUACUUAAUUGUGACUUUCUUAUGUAUCCUGAUUCUCUUUUCAAUUUUUGUCGGUGGUUUUUCCUUGAUAUAGUUUCACUUUCAUGGUUCCAUUAGUUCAGCCGUGACGGAACUUCAGCUUAAUAUGUUGGCUUCUGUAUUGUCGCUGCUUGCUGUUAACAUGUGUCCCCCACAUUUUAUCCUAUGCUUAUCUUGUCUUCUCUCCUUCCCGUUCCCAUGUCUUUGUAUUAAGUAACCACUGCUUUAGCUAAAUAGUAGUCUUUGUUCAACUUCAACCUGUUGCUGUCAUCUUAAGAAUUGUUGCUAGAUAAAAAUUUACGUAAGCACCAAAGCACCAGUGGUCUAGUGGUAGAAUAGUACCCUGCCACGGUACAGACCCGGGUUCGAUUCCCCGCUGGUGCAACAUCUGUUGUCGAAGAGCUGUGAUGAUAUUGGCUUCAGCGUUGGUUGGGUCCUUCGCAGCUUCCUGAUAGUGGAGAUGACAUGCCAUGUGACUGAGCUCUAAAUUUUAAAAUCUUCUGUUGUUAUUAAGUUUUUUUUUUUUCAAUUUUGUAACAACAUUGUUGAAGUGUUGCCCUUUCAAUCUUUGAAAAAAAUGGUAUCGUUUCAAUCUUUUAAAGGUGGAACACAGUUUCUAUGAAGUGUUGCCCUUUCAAUCUUUCAUCAACUGAAACUUCAAAUCAAAAUAUUUCAAACAUAUAUCGUGCUAACUGUUACAUAUAUAUUUGAUACAAACAAAACUUUGAAUUCCAAACAAUGAAAACACCAGAGAGAUUCCACAUACAUAAUAAGACUUAAUUUACUUAUUAUUAGUUUAUUACUGAUCCUCAACUCAAAAUACAACAUGAACAAAAAGCUAGCCAGAGUCUCAAGCAUUGAUAUUUUCAACACUGGCGCUUUUAUCCACUCUCUUGAAUAUCCCAGCAAUCACCUGCCGUUUUAAAUGCAACACAACUUAGACGAAAAAAGAAGCUUCAAGCUAUAACAAUCUACGAGGCUAGAAACAAAAACAAAAACAAAUACCUUUCCAGGUCCCAAUUCAUAGCUGCUUUUAAGUCCUUUGGAUAAGAGUGUCUUCACUGUUGUCUCCCAUUGCACUGGAGAUGUAACCUGGCGGUUUUCAACACCCUUUUGAGUCUUUGUUUUUAUCUUUACCCACCACAAGAAAAUAAGUAAACACAAUGUAUUGAUUUUUUUUUAUACCUGGCGUGCAAGUAUCUUCUUGAUCGUGUCUGGAUCUGCAUGAGGCUGUGCAUCGACGUUGGAGAUCACUGGGAUCCUAGGACUCCUGAUCUCCGUUGCUGCCAAUGCAGCUUCUAAUCUCGACACUGCUGGUUCCAUGAAGCUUGUGUGGAAAGCACCCGCAACUGCUAGACGAACCUACACACCCAACAACCAUGUUUCUUAUAGCCUCAACAUAAGAUAAAAGGAUUAAGAGAGAGAGAGGUUACCGUCAUUCGGGCCUUGAAUGACUUAGCUUUGGCUUCAACAACUUCGAUUCCUUUGAGACCUCCAGAGACUGCGUAGUUACCCUAUAAUACCAAACUGCAUUUAUGGAACGGCGCAGUUGGUUUUUUAGAGGUUUUAAAUGCAAAGAGAGAUGGUAUUGGAUACCGGACAUAAGUAAUUUGCGAUCUGAACUUUGUCAGCUUCGUCUACUUCUUGAUUUGCUGCAUCGCACAACUGCUGGACUUUUUCUGAGUCCAACCCUAUGAUACUAACCAUUGCACUCUUAGCAGCAUCCGCAGCAGCCUGAAAAGGCAUUUAGUUAAAAAAAAAACUAAGUGAUCAGUCACAUCAAGCACAACAUCAACCUAAACUUGACAUAACUAAUGAAAGACGUGUAUAAAAUCUUACCUGCAUGGCUUCCCCUCUAAGUUUUACAAGCUUAAGCCCAUCCUCAAAACUUGAAAUGUAAAUGAAACAAACAAGAACUAACUAAGGUUGCUGGUUUCACACAGAUGUAAAUGAAACGAACUAAAAUUUAUCUUAAAAUACCAUUUGAAAUUCUGUGAUUUGGUUUCCACCAUGUCCUCAAUUUACAAUAAAAAAAAGACCAGAUUUUGAGUGAUCUAUUUACAAUCAAACAGAUGGAUUAACUUGUAACUUUCUCGUUUUCUCACAAAUCUUAAUUUUGGUGUAUUUGAUGACUCGAGACAGUGGUGUAUGACUAACAAACCUGAAGGCUCCAGCAAAUGCGAGAGCAGUGUACUCUCCUAAGCUGAGACCACAAGUCACAUCAACAGAGUUUAUUAUUUGCUCGCCGCCUUCACGAACACGAAGUAGUUCAACUGCUGCUAGACUUGUGACAUAAAUAGCAGGCUGAGAAAAUGAGAAAUUAAGAACUUAAGAGACCAUACAUAAUUUUACAUAGAAAAACAUCAUAAAAUACUAGAUAAAGGAUUCAGUUGUGCUAGAUUUAAGUGACAAGAAGAAAGAUGUACCUGGCUAAUGACAGUGGAAUCAAGCUUCUCUUUUGGUCCAUUAACACAAAUGUCAAGAAGAUCAUACCUAUAAGCCACCAUUUAGUUUAAAUUAUUUAUUCACUAAAUUAAAAAAAAAAAAAAAGAAUAGUUAGUUACAAGCAAAGGGAGCAUAUACCCCAAGAUAUGGUUAGCUUUCGUAUACAAGUCUGCAGCUGCAGCAACACUCUGAGCCUCUUUGCCCAUCCCUAUCGCUUGAGCUCCCUUAUAUAUUAGUAUAUUUCAAAAAAUCAUUACACGACAACGUUACAAGUACAAUAUCUAACAUGGUUCUGUCUCAACUGAAUUUUUACAAUCAGAUUCAUUAGACAAAACUAUCAGUGUAGGGGCAUCGCAGAACCAAAGAAAGUCCCGACAUUUCGAACUUUUUUCUAUUAAAAACUCAAACUUUCGAUGUUAGCAUACGAUUCAAUUCAAUUACAGUGGGUACCUGACCAGGAAAGAGAAAAGCAGAGGAGGGUUUGUAAUGGGCGAACAAAGAGUCGUUGAUCGCAGUCUGAGACUCAGUGGAGAGGCUCAUUGAAACUCUAGAUCGCGUGACGGAGAAUCCGAGGGAGGAAGCAUUCCUGGAGCUGGAGAGUUUGUUGAGAGAUACGGAUGGGAAGAGCAACGAAGAGGAGGAGGAGGAGGAGGCUGUGGCCAUGGUGCGCAGGUUUAGAGAAUGAACCGGGAGAGGAAUGCGUAGGAUAGCAGGUUGGUGAAGCAGUGAGCGCAUUCAGACAAGGGUUAAGUCAUAAAAGCUCAAGGCGGAGCUAACCAAGGUUGUGCUAGAUGGAGAAUCAAAUAUAUUUUGGUUUAUUCAAAAGUAUAUAAAGUAAAAAUUAACAUUUGUACAUAUUUUAUUUUUAAUGUGCAUAACUUUUUGUUGAACUAUAAUUAUGUGACUUUUUAGUUAUUUUUUAAUAAUAGAAAAUGGUGAUGUUCUAUAUAACGUGGAAAGUUACAAGCAAGAGUACAAUGGAAACCAUAAGAUGAACUUCUUUUCAAUAGAGCAGUUGUUGAUCUUCAACAACAACACAUAACAAAGACCCUCAAACCUUUUUGAUUAAAAUAAAAACAAAACAAAACCCCCCACAAAUCCUUAGAGAUCUAUAUUAGCAUCUUGGAAGAUCCAAAGGUGGAGCCUGCACAGAUUGCAACUGUCCUCUUCCGUUCUCCACCAGGAAAACCAUCGCUAAACCCCAUCCCAAAUGUGAAUCAAUGUGACAAUGCAUAAACCAUGCUCCUGCGUUAUUAGAACAAAGUUAUAUGGUUUAAAGGUUGAGGCUAACUCGCUUAAUUCAUAAUUUAAGUAAAUUAAUUACCUGGAUUAUCAGCGACGAACCGGAUUGCAACCCAACCACCUGGAGGUGUACCAACGGUGUUCCUCUCCGGUGGGUCAUACAGGUUAAACCGAGCCGGGUCAGUUCUCGGGUUAAAAUUCCCGAAACCAGACCCGACAACGUAGAAUUGGUACCCGUGAAGAUGCAUGGGAUGAUUCUCAGUCGUGACAAUACUCGUGUCUUGUAAAACAAUCUGAACAUUAGCUCUGUACUUAAGCUUGUAAGCUUUGGUUCCUUUCACGGGCUGCCAUAGCCCGCGGCUAACGUUACCGGUGUAAUCGAACUGGACUGGUGGAACAGGUGGGAAGUCCGUCGUGAAGAUACCAGGCAUGCCUUGGUAAUAAGCUUGCAUGAUGGAGUUUCUUCGUGGUAGCACGAAGGACUGGUUGUUUAUGCUGGCCGCGAACCGGGUCCCGUUUGGACCCUGGCAACGCGGACUGUUGGGGUUGGAGCAGUUGGUUAGCCCCAAACCAACGGUGAAAAAGAGGUUCUCGUCGACCUGGAGCGGUACUGGAGCUCGCUUCCAGUACCGCAGACGGUUUGUGAAAGCGGUUGCGGUUGCGGUGUCGUUGAACCCCGGAAGAACCGGGAAAACUGGGGCGAUUUGACCACGGCCACGACCACGUCUAGUUGGAGCAUUGACGUACUCCAAGAUAGCAGUUGUGGUUGUGUUGUCGAAAGGGGCGUUUGCGCUGUUGUAGGCACGAGCUGCCAUGUAGUAGCGGCCGGGUCGCUGGUUCGCGGUGAGGAGGACGUUAGUGGUUUGUCCGGGACCGAUCAUGAUGACACUAGUGGUGAAUGGUUUUGUGUAGGCGGAAUCGGUUUCGACAACUGUGAGCUGAUGGUUGGCGACUGAGAAGAAGAGCUCUUGGUUCAGUCCAGCGUUGAUGACACGGAGCUGGACCGUCUCACCAGGGAAAAUCGGAAAACGGACUGUUUCAGCUCGCGAACAUCGGUAGAGAUCUCCUGGUUGGCCGUUGAUUGUGUAAGCGUCAGAGACAUUAGCUGCUGCUCCAGUGAACUGUGCUUGCCUCAAAACGUCCAUUGGGUUUCUAUCCCACCAUUCCCCUGUGUUCCCAUGACAAAUGUUAUUAGUGAUCAUGAAAAAUGAUAUAUGGAAUGAUUAGAAGUUAUAAAAUAUUACCGAGAAGAAUUGGUAUGUCACGUUUAGGCAUAGAGAAGGGAUAAGGAGAACCGAGACGAGGGUAAAUGAUAAGAGCACCGUAGACGGUGGCUCGGAGCCAGCGGCUAUGAGCAUGCCACCAAAGAGUACCUUCUUGGUCUUCGAUUGUGAAUCUGUAAGUGUAGCUUUGACCUGGACGGAUCGGACACUGUGUUAUGUACUCUGGACCAUCAGCCCAUGGAUUCCUUAGCUGUCUGAUUCCAUGCCUGUCCCAAAAACAGAGUAUAAAAACAGGCAGAACAUAAACAUAUGUUUGUUGAUAACGGUGAUGAAAUCAUUUUAGUUACCAGUGAAUGCUAAUGUUGUAACGAGCUCUGUUGAUGACGGUGAUUGCUAGAGAGUCACCGUUCCUGACCUCGAGCGUUGGACCAGGGAACUGACCAUUCACCGUGAUGCUUUGGUGAGUUCUGCACAGCCUCUUCACUGGUUUUGGCUCGAUCUAAAGUCAUCCACAACGGACACAACACAAAAACAUCAAGUAAGUUUGUAUAAAGUACGUUCAUUAAUGCAAAGAACAUAAAGAGAAGCUAUAAUGUAACGAGAACAGCCAGCUUACCACAAAUUCACGGACGUGAAGUUCAGCUGAAGCGAGAAAAGCAAAGUAAGCAAGAAGGGCGAUGAAGGAUACAAAGGAGAGUCGCUGGAGAGACUCCAUUGUUGAUGUAUUGAGAAGCUCUGUGUAGGGAUGUGUUGUGUGAGUUUAGAGGAAGGGGAGGAGUGGUUUUUAUACACACUAAGCGGGAAGCAACAGAGCUAUUUGUGAAUUCGUUAGCAAUUUGACAAACUUAUAUUAUAUUAUACUAUAUGGUACUGUUAUUAUACACAGGAUUAUACACAAAUGGUUUAGUUGAUUUGGUGCACCCACUGGACUAAUUUGGUACUAGGAUCCUCUAAUUAUUAUCAAUGAUUCUUUUGUUUAUUUUUUUUUAUGCCAUGCAUAAAAAUUUGUAAAUUACGUAAACAUAAACGCAAUAUAUGUCACCUAUACUCCAGUAAGUUUUAGGUUUUUUUUUUAAGUUUUUGGGUUAUUACUGACUUUAAAUAACAUAACGCUCUAAUCAUUUUGCCACUCAACUUGCUUGCUUACAGGAAGCAAACUGGCUUUACACUUUCCAUAUAAUUGUCUUUGGUAAUGUCUGAUAAAUUCAUGUAAUUCUGUAGAUUUACAAAAGCUUUUUGACUAACCAUAUGAAAUGAUCCAUGCUAAAUAUGAAAAUUUAUAGAAGAAACAUAACAAGUCGCAGCUAGAACUGGACGUGAAAAAUAUGUUUAAAAGAUUAUGGUAUUUUUACGUAUAAAAGCACUUCAAAUUGACAAUGGGGUCAGCUAAUGGAACCAAUAAUGUGAAGAUCAAACUAAGAAAGAAGUGGUUCGAUGGGAGUUGAAAUUUGUGGUAUGGAUUUGGUAUAGAAAUCCAUAACUAACCUUUACCGAUAUUAUUAAUUUUAAACAAAAUGGUUAGUUGACCUUUUUGAGCCGUUCCACAUACACCUAUGCUCGCAGUAGCAGUCACACUCGCACCACUUCUAUAUUAUAUUCUAGAUGUUUGUUCAACGUCUUCAGUUAUAAUUUUAAGAAAAAUAAGAUUAGGAUUUUUGAUCAAAAAGAAAAAUAAUAAUAAAAUUUGGAUUUUGUCAAAACAUUAGAUAGUUUAAAAUUUAUUACCUUAGGACUUUUUUUUUUGUUUUUUAUAUGCCAUAUCGAUUUGAUCAGAUUUUUUUUUUUUCAUCAAGAGUUAUAUUAUUAAUUGAAGGGCCAAGCCCAAUAUUACAAAGCCCAUCCACAAAGGCAACUAAGAAACAUAAAACAAAGGCCUAAAAGCCCACAUCUGAAACCCUAGAAUCCACUAACGAAAGGGUCACCGCCGCUCCCGUGAGCCACCGCCUCGGACCACAACGAGACUCCCGCAACCAGCAAACCUCCGGUGAAACAUCCAUUGAUCGAUCCACCGGUACACACCCAAGCUCGACAGCUCCAUAUCAUCUUCACUGCAACCGCCUUCAACACAGAGAUUCUAUCAUCGGAGAGAUCAAUCGCAAAUACGAGAUCACCUCCGCUACCAUUGAUCACCACCACCAAGAAGAAGGCUUCACACAAACAUCUCCAAAUACCACCGGAGAGCAUCAAUCGUCUUCAGACGAGAGCUCCUCCAUCAGAACAACACCGACAUCACAAAACCAAAAUAAGACCUAAAACAGAACUAGGUAAACCCGAGAGCCGGCGAAAGCGGAGCUGAGAAAGCCUCCGCCUCCCGGAAACAAGGCCGGCGGCGAUGGAGCUCUAGAAACCUCCACCUCCCGAAAACAAACCCUAAUCUAAACAGCCUAUUUCCUCACACCGAACCCCACACAAUCGCGUCGUUACUCCAGCCGCAGCACCACCGAUGAUGUCGUUACACUCUCCGAGGUGUCGACGACGGACGAGGUCCGGACCAGAGCUCCAACAAAGCGAAAGAGGAAGACCGCGUUGAAAAGGCAGGGGAACUCUUUCAGCGGGAGCGCGAAGGGCUCCGGCGACGGCACGCACGCUCACGCGUUGGCCGUACACCGGACCCUUCGAUUAGAUCUACUUUCUCUCUCUGUGCUUUCUCUCUCUUUGCUCGCGUUCCGAUUUGAUCAGAUCAACUCCGACAAAAUAUUUAAUAUUAUAGAGUGGAUAUUUUUUGAAUGGCCAUCACACUGUCUAAUCCAAAUCCGCCUAAUAUAGUAUCAGAUAAACUAUUUGGGUUAAAUUCCAAAUCCAAAUUUUUCAAAUAGCUGUCACUUUGUUUGAAGGAAGAUUUUCAAGAGUAUGUUUAACCAUAUUUUCAAAUCUCGACUACCACUUGACAAAACGAUGAGAUAGUAGUUUGAAUUGGAUAGAGACAUAGCGUGUUUCAUGUUCUUAAAGAACGAACAUAUUUACACAGUUGGGCUUUUUCCAACGUUGCGUAUACUGUCUAAAAUGAGUUAAUUAUCUACUAUAUACUAUCAUUUUAUAAGAAACAAUUUCAUUAUCAAAAUUGAAGUAAGUAUGUGUAUUGGGAAGAUGCAGGUUUUAUUUGAACUUUAACAGGUCCAAAAUAAUAGCCCCCCAACUUGAAAACUCACAAACUUUAUCCAAAAAAAAUAAUCACUAAUUAACUCAUACCCAAAUCGAGUAGACCUCUUAACAAAUUAGGUUAGCAAUAAUUUGACAUAUUUAGUAAUAAUGCAACUAAUGAAAGAUUAUAAUGACUUGCGGAACAAGGAAGAAAUACCGUAUUUGCUACGGUUUUGGAUCAUGUCCAUCACAUGGUCAUAAACAUUGACGUAUAGAAACUUGCUUUCUGGGAGAGACGCUUCUAUUUGUGGAAAUUUCUUCUUAAGUUUCUGCUUGAAUAAGACUGAGUCUUUGUUCUCUUGUUCCAAGCAAGUUCUGCUCAUGAUGUGGUUUGCGAUUUGGUGGUCAUUUGGAUCGGCAAACACCCAUUGAUGCUCCAACAAUAAAUUUUAGGCAGCCUAAAUCGUAAAGGUCCUGAACAGACGUCAAAUAUACAAACUGAGAAAUCUAACGAAAAAAAAAGAGAGAGAGAAAUCUUUUUUUUUUGUCAAACAGAGAGAGAGAAAUCUAACGAGCCAAAUAUAAAAGACAGAACAAUUAGACCGAAGAAUUUUAUGAGACAUUAACGAUCAAGUCUCUUAAGCACAAAUUCUUGGUAACUAGAUAUCUCAGGAUACUUUACACCUCCUCGUUGGGGAUAUCGUAGAAUUUUAAGAUGAAAUCGUUAGGCCCUGCGCCUGCGCUUAUGACCACUAAAGCGUUUCCAAUAAUCUCCAUAGCUUUGUUGUCUCCUACGAUGCCUAUGAGACGAGCAGUGUAGUUCUUUAACAUGCUUGGUUGUUUUGAGACUGGAAUCGCUUGGCUCGACAGCAAGGAGACAAGAAUCACUUGCCCCGGGAACUCUAAGAAAAUUGGUUACUCAUGUCAUUGUCUAUCACAAUAGCAUCUCUCUUACACCUCAGCAGGUCUUCAAGCUUGUUGACAGGGAUAUCAGGCCUACCAUAACGGCGAGACAACCAAGGCGUACAUUCUUAGGCCUAAUGGCGAUUUGGAUCAGAUGACCACACUCUCAGAUCAGAUCCUCACACUACUUCUUUCCUUGUUUUUAUCUAAUUUUUGCCAAGGAAACAAUAUGUAGAGUCUUUACUAGCUAGAGACAAACUUUUCAUUUUCUUUAAUGAUAUUUACAAUUUAGCAAAAAAGUUAACGCUAUAGUUUUGUGAAAAAACGUUAUAAAUUUGGGGAAUAUGAUCCUUAGUUUUUUCAUCCAUGUAUCUGAAGGUUUAAAACUUUAUUAAUCGUUAAGUAUUUGAAUUUAUACUGCCGUUGCAGUUUUUUUUAUUGACAACCAAAUCUUUGUUUCAUUUUUUUUUUGCAGGCUAGUUCUAAUCAUAUGUAAAAUAUGCUUUUGUAUAGGUUUAUUGACAAACUAACACAAGAUUGGGUAUAUUUACAACCCAAAUAAAUAUUCAAAAUAUAAACUAGAUAGUAUAUAUAAAAUUUGAAUAAAAUUUUGUAAUAGUUGUAAAAAUAUAACAUGUUGACAAACUAACACACAUAAAAUUGGUAUGGCUAGAGCCCAAAAUAAUUAUUUAAAGCAUAGCACUAGAGAUUAUAUAUCUAACAGUGAAUAAGAUUUCCAACAGUUGUAUAAAUCUGUUAAAGCUUUCAUUGAAUUAGAUGCACAAAACAUUGUGCAUGCGUGAUUGAUGUAUUCAUGUAUUGUUUCGGCGAUUUUAACCAGUAUAAAUUUGGAGCUAGGACUUUUUGGUUGUAAUUCUUAAAAUAAAAAUGCUACACUGGAUUAGAAUACAUCCUCAUCUAAUAAAUAAAUAAGUGUGUGUUUAUACAACAAAUAAAAGAGUGUGUAUGAUCAGUACAAAGUGAAAAUAAAUAUACUAUUAAAGAAAUCAAAUGAGUUAUCAAGGUAGAGAAACAUAUUUUGACCAAUAUGUAAGAAACACACCAAUACAUAUUUUUCAGUUAAAAAGAAAUUGGACUAGUAAAGAACUUCACCAUACAACAAUCCAUUUCCUGGAAAUCCUUUCGCUUACAGAUUAUUGUUCCAGUGGUAAGGUUAUUUUCUUAUAAAGUUUGGCACUCUAUUUUCAUAAUCUACUAAGUGUGUCUUUAUCUUCUAAUAUGAGACCUUUAUCUGCAAAUUUUGGUUUCUCUUGAAUAUUUUUUUCACCCCUGUUUUCAUCUCUGUCUUUUCUUUCCUACUUAUCUCGAUUAAAUACUUUAAUUUUCCUUUAUUUUUCACUUUGUUAUACUAUGUCUUAUCAAUCUUUGUUAACUAUACCUAAACUGAUUUGUCUAUUGUAGUUCUUUUAUCUUGGUCUGAUGUUUUAUCCACUGGUGUAACCAAGGCAUCAGCUCUUUUACGAUACGUCCAAAUGAUACACGAAGAACCUGAAUUUUCAAUGGAAAAAAUCAUUGGGUGCAGUUUAUUUUCUUUUCAUUAUUAUUCACACUAAUAGAGCUAUUAAAAAGAUGUUUCUAUAACAAAAUUUAAUAUUCAAUAGUUUUUUUGAAUUCACUAUGGGAAAUGAAAUUAUUAGCUUAUAAACUACAAUAAAUAUCAAUUAGUUAGCCUAUAUGUAAUAAUAUCUUUAAGAUUAAUUAACUAAAAUAUCAUCUUAUUACAUAUAUACAGAUAAUUCAUAAUAUAUAUGUUAAUAUAAAUUAUGUUGAGGUAGCAUUGCUAAUAUAUUUUAGAAACAACUAGCUUAAUUUUAAGUGAAUAUAUAUGAUUGCUGUUAUAUGUCUACAUCUUCUCAAAUUUCAUUAAAUUUUAAUUUGGAUUCUUCUGACGCGGAAACUUAGCUAGCUUGAAGAUAGAAACAACCUGUACUGUUAUAUCAUUUAAGAUUAUAAAAUUUUGUGACUGGCCGAAAGGAUCUUAUACACGAGAGUAAAUCUAAAUCAACGUGUGUUAUCGAAUAUCGACUGGAGAUAUCUCCAACAUCUAAACUAAAGUCUUUAUGUUAUCCUCUUAUUUUGUCGUUACACCAUCAGGUUCUUCCCCCUUAAACACUAUCACGUCUCAUAUUUUGAUUGUUACUACGAAAUCUAGUAAUCUGUAACUUAAUCUUUCCAGAAUCUAUAAUUCCUUUUUUAAUAGUAGAAUUCAAAGUAAUUCCAGUUCAGAUCUGCUUUAGUGUUUUGUCUUUUUCGUACAAUUAAUAAUCAAUUAAAUUGCCAUACUAAUUUAUAGAUCGAACCAAUGAAACAUUUAUCUUAAUACAAGUUACAAUUUGUCUGGAAUUUUUUCUUUCAUUAGUAUUUUCUAGGAAAACAUUUCCUUUUUUUUUUUUUUUUGUGACAAGGAAAACAUUUCCUAGAACUAAGUCCGCCAUACAUACAUAGCUCCCAACAACUUGUGUUUAUGUUUGGGAUAACAGGAUAACAUUUUCAUUAUAUUUUCCUAGAAAUAAAUUUCCAGCAAUUAACGUUAAACUUCUAUACAUACGUUUGACAGACUUGGAUUCAUUGAACCGUUUGACCGAAAUGACAGCUAUACUAUACAUACGUUUUAUUUCUUUAAUGUCACCUAGCAUUGUGAUCACUAAGUUAAUUAUAGAGAUAUGAUAAGCAACCAUAAAGAAAUCGGUUUUCUUGUUAUGAUAAAAUCUAAUAAGAACAAUUAUAGUUUCCCCAACAUACGGCAGAAAUGGUCUACAGAAUGCAGUAUAAAAUAUAUUUACAACCAACUGGUUCCUACGUGAAGUAUUAUUAUGAUUCACGUUAAUUCGAUCUCAAAUGAUUAUAAAACCGUUUAACCCUUUUGACUGACCUUAUUUAACUACAUGAUUAAUUAUGCGGUCUAUGAUCAACCGUGAUUGGAAGUACUAGUACUGUUGUCCAAUUGAGGAAAAAGACAGAGCACGUUCUUGAAUUAAUUGACCCUUUCUAGUUUCAUAUUUAGUUAAGCUUCAAUCAUAAGAACAUCUCCAAAAAGGAACUCUAUUUUGAAGUUUCCAAAACUUUAUAUUUGAAGUUUCAAUGUGUUCUUCUCCAAAAGUAAAACUUUAAACCUAACUUCAAAAUUAUUUAUAUUUUACACUAUGAUCCUUAUGUUUGUCAUAGUUGAUGUAAAUUCAUAAAACUUCUAUAAAUAACUAAUACAUAUAUAUAAAUAUUACAGAAAUAUUAAUUAAAAAAAAAUCUUACACUAAAAUAUAAAAUUAUAAAUAAAAGUACAUAAUUAAAUAUUAAACUGCAAGCAAAUAUUACAUUAUUGCAUAAAAUUAUUUCCAUAAUGCUCCCAUAUAUGAUCAACUAUUUCGAAGUAAGAAAUGAUUCUCUUUAUUUUUUAUUUGUAGAUUACGAGCCAAAAAUUGUUGAAACCGGAUAUCCUCAUAAUAUGUCUGCUGAUAGUUUGAUAUCAUCAAACGAAAAAAAUCCUUGAUCUUUUAAACGAAAGUACAACAAGCAGGGAAAAAGGUCAUGAGAUGAUUGAAUUACGACUGCAAAAUGAAGCAAAAAAGUUACCUUUUAAAGAAAUAAAAGAGGAAAAUAAAAUAUUGCUAAAAAACUUAGCUUCUAUCGAUGACGUUAAUAUUCGUGAAUACAUUCGAUCUGAACAAGAAAGAAUCAUACGAAAAAUGCGUCAAGAGCAACAACAACAAUCAUCUUCGGUUACACAAAAUUUGUUGAACAAUAUUUUAGAGAUUUUGGAGGUUCCGGAGCAAAUUUACCAGACUAUUAGUGUUGUUAUAAUAUUUAAAUUUGAGUAGUAAUUAUGUCUUCAUGUGUCUUUUUAAUAAGUUUUUAUUAUGGUUUUUUGUAAUAUUCUUGUUGUUUAAUUCUAGUUUUAAAAUAUUAUAAAUCUUGUUUUAAUUUUUUUUAUUUAAUUUCAUGUGUAAAACUUAAGUUUAUAUAACAAAUUUGAAAUAUUUAUGAGAUAUAAAAGUUUUAAGGAUUAAAACAAUAAACAAAAAAAAUAUUUAAGAAUUAUAAAUAUGAUGUAUAAUUGUAAGGACCAAAAUGCAAAUAAAAAGAUGAAACUUCAAAUUUGAAGUUUUGAAAAGUGAAACUCUAUAUUUGGAGUUUCACUCUUCAAAACUUCAAAUUUGAAGUUUUGAAGUUCCUUUUUGGAGAGCAAAAAACUCUAUAUUUGGAGUUAUAGAGUUUCUUUUGGAGAUGCUCUAAGUGAAUACCAAAAAAGAAAUCGUGUGGCACGCACGAGGCGUAUUCACUUUCUUAAUUAAUCAAUUUCAGCGCCGCUCGUACGUAGUCGGUGCCCGAAACAUCCGUGCUACGAAGCUUCCUCUCAUACGUCCUUGGUCCUUUUUUAUCGGGCAUUAAUCAUUUGAUGAACGGGUUUACCAAAACCUUAAGCAUCAUUAAAUUCAUACAAAAUUUAUCAUUAAGGGGGGUUAACGCCUCGAGAGAAAUAAUCAAUAAAAAUAACCCCGAGAAUGGGAGAAUUAUGAGUACUAGCUAGAUUCCUACGCGUACAUUUUGGUACAUGCAUGACCAUUCUAUCUCACUGUAACAGCUUCAUAAUUAACAUCGAAUAUAACGUACUAGUUACCAAUGGUGUGGUUCAAAUCCUGUAACUUUUGUCUUAUCGAGAUGAGACAUGUGAUAGCAAAAGUUUUCUAGAUUUCUUUUUUUAGGAAAUGAGGACAAAACACUGUUUCAAUAAUUCAACUUCAAUGAUGCUUAUGUAAUUCUAUCAUCUACUAAAAUAGUUAUAAACUUUUCUUCUUAUAAAUGUCAAAGUAACUAACAAUUGCAGUAUUUAAUAACAUCAACGUAAAUACUCCAAUUUACUCUAGUUAUGCCAAAGAAUCUCAUAGCCAUCAUCCCUCCAUAAAUUCUUCGAAAAUUAGAAAAUAAUUAAUUCACCUGAUUUUGGAGCACUGUAUUUCAUUUUCUAGUGAUGCUAAUUAAGUACUCCAUAUGUUCCUAAAAGAUCCAUAUUCUAUAUUUUUCACAUAUUUUAAUAAAAUAUAUUAAAUUUGCAUAACUUUUUGUGUUUAUUUUUUUCUAAUAACUUUAAGCCAAUAAAAAAUCAAUUAAUGCAAUUAAGUUUUUUGAAGUUUGCAAUCAGUUAAUAAAACAUGCAUUGAAAAAGUAAAAAAUGGUUCUUUUUUAAACAAUUUUUUUCUCUAUAAUAUAUAACUUUAAGAAACGGAAGGAGUAUAAAUUUCGUUUGGAAGCAUAACCAGAGGGCGUAACUCCUCUAACUUACCUUCUCUUCGUUUUUAAGUUUCCUUUAGAAUUGUUACUUUGCAUUGUCAUUUUAAAAUCGUUACUCUGCAUUAUCUUUUGAAAUGUUAAUUUAUAGUUAUUCAGUUUCAUUGACCAAUGAGUCAAUGACGGAAGCAGAAUCUUAACUAUAUUCCAUUUAGAUAAAAAUAAAUUUGAAAAUAGUAGUUUACAAGAAUUAAUCGUAAAUAUCGCCGUAUGUCAGUUCUCUCGCCCCAACGUCACACUGCUAGCUGGGCUUGUCCAUCGUCUGUCGAGAAUUUUUGAUGAAUUACGACAUGAAUGUUCAAAUCCUUUUAUUAUCACAAAAAUGGUAACUCAUUAAGAAAAUUAAACCCUUUUUAGAAAAUAUGUAGAAGGCCAUCUAAAUAUUUCAAAUAUUAGUUUAUCUGCGUUAUAUACAUCUUUAGAAUUUAGAAUCGGAAAUGUGGGGUGAUUAAAAAUAGGAAAAUGUAAGGUUAUCUACUAUUUAUGAUUUAUAAUUUGAAAAAUACAUCUCUAUUUUAAUUUUCUGAAAAGUACACUUUCUUACAUGUGAUAAGACAGUUUUAUCCUAAUUUUAAUUAAAACUAAAAAUUAAGAAAUAAUUUAUGUUUGAGAUAAUAUAUGUUUGAAUAAAUACAUAUCUAUACUAUUAAAAGAGAAUCAUUCUGAAAAAAUCUACUUAAACAAGGUUGUUGCACCUAUUCAUUUUUAUAGCCCAACCUAUAACAUAUAACCAAAUAUUAUAAAUAACCCCUAUUAUAGCAACCAAAUCAAACUCUCUUAACAUUUUAAUAAAACCUAUAAUUGUUUAUUGUCCUUAAAUGUUAUAAUCAAAACCGACAACCUAUAACCUUUUAAAUAUAUACGUACGUUUUGUCUAUAAACCAUUGUUUCUAUUAAUUUCACAGCACCAUUCGAUACAAACAUUUUAUAUAAUUAUUCUCUACAUCAUGUGGUAAACAAAUGAAAUACAUAACGUUAUAUACAUGUAAAACUGAAAUAGUUCAACCCACCAUCUACAUUUAUAGAAUUGUGUUCUACCGUGAAAAGUGAUAUACAAUGUUCUCAGCAAUUCUUUUUUGGGAAACACUCAGCCAUUCAUUUGUCAGUCUUAGGUUAAACAUUCCUUAAAUUCAUCUUAUAAAAACGUUACAUAUGAAUCUCAAAACCAAAACGAUACUAUGUUUUUAAAAAAAUCGCCACUCAGCCCACUCUUUCGCAAUUUCUCAGUUUAGGAAAUUUAAAAAAAAUCGAAGAAUCAAUAUUAUACAUCAUAACAAGACUUUAAUGAGCCAUGCAAUCACUAAUGUUUAAAUAUCUAUCAUUUAAGUGAGUCAGUAUAUCCAUCACAAUAUUAUAACAAACUUAAAAAUAGAUAUUGACAAUAUUUAGUAUAAUUUCAAAAAGUGUUUGAAAUUGUAUUUGUAUUUUUUUUAUCACGUUGUUAAUUUGUAACAACCAAGAUAUCAAAAUAAAUCAAUCCUAAUUUUUUUUCGUAUAUUUGCUAAGAAUAUACCUUAUUUUCAAAGGCAUCUAAAUUUAAAAGAUAUCAGAAUUGAUUAUUCUUAUAUUUUUACCUUAUUUUUUAAAACCAAUAUAUAGCAUAUAUUGUUACAAAUAUUUUAACAAAAAAGAAUAAUGUAGAUAUGCUAUUUAAAUCCACUAACUUUAAUAACUUUAAUAUAUUUUGAAAUUUAUUUAAGAGUUAGCACAUAUCAAUAUCAUACAUCAUAUAAUAUUAUGUCAUCUUACAUUAUAUAGUUCAAAAUAUUUACAAAAUUAAAUUUGAUAAAAAACCUAUAUCAAAUCAUCUGUUAAAAACAAAAUUACAUAUUUUACUUCAAUUUUUUUAUAAAAUAAUUUAUAAUAAAAUAUGUUAUUUAAGAUAAGUUUAAAAACUCUUAAAAACUCUUAAAAACCUUACAAAAUAUAGACUAUUAGAUAAAUCAAAAUCUGCCAAGUAAAUCUUAAGUUUUACCUAUUCAAAAAAUGUAGCUCUUAUAAAAUCCACACAAAAAAUAUUGAGAGAGAGUAAGUUUAGGCAUUUGGGUCUUUGGGUCGGAUACGGAUCAGAUAUUUUUGUGUCUGGAUUUUUCGGGUCUUAAACAUUAAUUUGGACAUAACUAGGUCUUUGAAAAAUUUUGGUUUGUGUUCGGGUCAAGUUUUCCGGGUUCAUGUCAGGUUUUUUGGGUCCAACUCGGGUUUUUCGGGUUCAAGUCAAUUCGGGUCCAUAAUUAAAAUACCUGUAAAAUACCAAUAACUUUUGGAUAAGUAAUGGAUCUGGAUUGAUUUGAGAAUUUAGGACACAAAAAUAUAUAUUUUUAACCCAAAAACCCCAAAAAAUACCAAAACACGAAAAUACCGAAAACCCAAACAAAUACUAAAAAUAUAUUCAAAUACCCAAAAGACCCUGAAAUCUGACGUGGUGAACCAAAAAAUAUCCAAUUUUUUUCCAGAAUACCGGAAGUAUAUUUUAAAAAAAAAUUGAAAUUUAACCUGAAACUCAAAACUAUAAUAGAAAACACGAACCCAAAAAUUUGAAAUACCAAAAACAUAACUGAAAUAUCCAAAUAUAUCUAAUAUACACAAAACAUGUAAGGUACUUGGGGUACCCGAUUGAGUCUCUGGUAGGACCAUGACUCGAAGAGAGAGCCGAGGGUCCAAAAAAAUAAUGUACUUUUCCAUGGAUCCAUACCCAAAUCGCACCUAUAUUUCUGGGUCGAUUUUGGUUUGGUUUUCCAGGUCCAAUACAAUGUCCAUGCCUAAAAAAGAGUUACAUAAGAAUGUACAUACAAUAAAUUAAAUAAACUAAUUGAUAAAUUAUAUAAUUUUAAACAUUUUUUCCGAUAUAAUAUGACUUUGUAUUAUAAUAAUAUACAACAAUUCUAAAAUACUAAUUCAUAAACUUUGUUUACAAUCCAAAAAAUAAUCCGCGCUUCCGAAGCGCGAAUCAAAAUCUAGUUAAUAUUUUAAAACAAUUUGUUAAGUUUUCCAAGAUAUUUUAAAGAUUAUUUCUUAGCUAUUCAGUUUUCACAAAACAGAAAAUUCUCCAGCAGAUUACAAUCAAAUUUAUAUUGCUCAAUCACACGAUUUUGUUAGCAUUUUCUGUUAGAACAAUAUAUGUUCUUUAAUUUUGAUAUACGUUCAAUUGAUAACUGAAUACGAGUUGUGUACAAUGUCUGAUUUGGAACUCAUUUUCUACAUAUGUCAUCUAGGUUUUUUUUUUUUGAUGAAUUUUCUACCAUGAUCAUUACUUUUUGUAUGUAUUUUCUAUACCCAGAUUUAUGUUUUAUGACCUCUUAAAUUUUGAAGAAUUCUAAGAUUGAAAUUUUAUUGUGUGUUUCUUUGCUGUUCGUCCAUUUUUUGUAUGGUGAAUGUCCUUCAGUUAGUUUAACUUUUAGAAAUAAGACAUGCAAGUGGAGCUUGUAGAUGUCAAUAGUCUUCCGUGACUAACUAGACGAUAAAGUCACAGAUGUUAGAAGCAUUAGUCGUUACUACAUAAGGCAUGUGGAGUGAUGAGUUACCAUGUGGAUGCAAGAUAUGUUGAGAUGGAGAAAGAUAAACUGAGGGUUUAUGUCUUGACCUAGUCGUUGUUGAGGCAGUGUGUGUCAGAGAGUGAACCAGGAGGCAUGCGGAGAGGUGGAGACUAUGUGGACGCAAGAUGCUGAGCUGACGUAGGAUAAACUUGAUUAUACCGUGGAAAAAAGACAAGAGAUAAACUUGGGGAUCAAGUUUAUCUCUUGAGGAAUAAGUGCAUUUCAAGAAGAUAAACUGUACUUAUUGAUAUGGAAGUUGUCUAUAUCCAUAUUCCUUGAAAGUUAGGGUUUCAGGAACGUGGAGAUCACUAUAAAAGAGCUAUGGAGUCGUGUGUGUUCCAUAAGACACUGACUAUUAUUAUAAAGGAAGGGCAAACAUCCCUUAGGAGUGUUCUUGGGUCGUGCUGAAGCAGUUGAUGAAGUACUGACGACAGAGAAACAAAUUUGGAUAGAUUAGGAAUCUUUCAGUAGUAGCUGUUAGGGUAUUAACAGGCUGUGUAAAGCUGAUAAGCAAGUCUUGUAAUAGAUUGUUUAGGAUGAUUUCUAAUAAAACAAUAGUUGGCUGCUUGCAUUUAUUUUGUCUUUUAAUUUAUCUUAUGCAUUACUUUAUUGUUGUGUCAUCUUUGCACUAACACAUAAUUGUAACGUUGCAAAAAUAGAACUGUGUUUCAAAAACUGUUUAAGAAAAAGCUCUAUGCUUUGAGUAAAAAUGGAGAACACAAAAAUGAAUGGCGUUAGACAUCUUCUAUCAUUACUCAUUAGUCAUUAUAGUUUAUUCUAAUAUAUUAUUGUUCAUUUGUGUUGUUGAUCUUUUUCUAAAAUAAUGUUUUCAAUUGCAUAGUUUAAAAAUUAUUUCUGUUUUUCAUUAAACUUAUCAAUAUAGAUAUUAAGAUAAUUAUAAGCAUAAACUUGGAUAAUUUAGUCAUUUGAUUUAUCAAUAAGUGUAUUUUCCAAAAAGCUAAAAACUUCAUGUAAUUUUCAAAAUAUAAUCUUUUUCGAAAGUAUUUUUCCAAAUUUUCCCUAUAUAGUAUAUACUAAGACCAGAAAAAAAAUUAAUCUAAACGUCAAUAUUUUAUUUUCUUAGUUCGUAGCUUGUACCCAUAAACAUGCAUAUAUGUUUAUCUAUUUACACAUCUACAUACAUGCAAACUUAAAUUCAUUCUUGUUUUUUUUUAAUAUUUUUUGUAGAUUUUGUUAAGAUGUAUUUUUAUUUUGGUCUUAUUAACUUAAUAUUUUAUUUUCUAAUAAUGUUCCACCAUUCAUAUUUUCAUAUUUUAAGUUAUAUUUAAUUUUGAAAUAAGAUGUAUUAAAUAAAAUAUAAAGUCAAUCUCUUAAAAAUAAGGAGACUACAUUACAACUAUUUCUAGUCAUUUUAGUUGACAAAAGAGCGCUAUAGUUAGGUAUUAGUUAGUUUGUCCAACUAUUUAAAAUCUUAAAUCUUGUAGGGGGAAUCUUUUAAUCAUAUAUAUCUUUUUGUCAUCUCAAUUUGAUUAAUAUUUAAGUAAAAUAUAGUAUAUACAUAUAUAAAAGCGACGGAGUAUAAAGAAAUUUCUGAAACAAAAACCUAAAGAAUCCCGAGAAUAUAACCACCCUUUGAAGAAACGAGACUAGCAAUUACAACAAAUAUCUGUAUAUAUCAGAAUAUGUAUUCGUAUUUUAAAAUAGCUCUUCGUAAUUUGGAGGGUGCGAUCAUACCAGCACUAAUGCACCGGAUCCCAUCAGAACUCCGCAGUUAAGCGUGAUUGGGCGAGAGUAGUACUAGGAUGAGUGACCUUCCGAGAAAUCCUCGUGUUGUACCCCUUUAAAAAAAUUUGACAAAAAAAUAGCUCUUUGUCGACUCUACUUGUUCUGCAAAAUACUUCCAUACAUGAAUUUAAGUCGCCAGAAACUUCAUGUUAUGCUAACAUGAAAAAAACUAAUCGAUGUAUCAUGUUUUGUGGUUAAAAAAACACUAAUGAAUUUUGUACAUAGGUAAGACUCACAGUUUUAUCUGAUAUUUUAGUAUGAGUUGACGUUCAAGUUAAAAUAUCUUAUACUUUGUUGGCUUUCUAUUUUUCUAUUAAAUUCAUGUAUAGUAGACUAAUUGUGUUUCAUGUAUAAAAAUAGUUAAUUCGAACUGUCUUUUCUUUAAAUAAAUUAUAUGAACUCAUUACAACUUCAAAUUGUCUAAAGAUGCAAUAAUAUGAGGGUCUCCAAUUAUUUGUGACGAAUUCAUUAUUGGACAAAGCAUAAAUUUUAGUAGACUUCGUAGUUUGGUGUAGAAAAUAGGAUAAUGCUAAAUUGUUAUUUCUUUCUGAUUAGUUCAUAAAUAAUCAUAUUACCUAAUAGUUUCAGUCAUUUAUAAAAUGAUAGAUUUAUUAUAAUAGUAUUUAGUAAUAAGAAGAUUAGACAGCUUAAUUUUAAGACCACAGGCCAAUGAAGAUCGGUGUCAUUUUGUGGUUAGAUAGGUAGUUUAAUUGAGUGGAAUAAAAUAUAUAAAAAUGAACACCAAUAGGAGGACUGCUUAAGUUAAUCAGUAAUCACAAUGAAGGAAGGCAUUUCGGUAAAUAAAACAUACGUAUACGUAUGGUCAAGCUCUAUCUUCUAGUCACUCUAUAUAUAUAACCUCAUCUUCCCCACAAAAACAUCACACGCAACAACAAAGAAUAAACUACAAAAAGCUUGAAAACCUUUUGUUGUUGUUAAAGAAUAACUUUUGAGAUUUGUUCGCAAACGAAGAAGGUAUGGGAAACAGUUUACGGUGCUGCUUGGCUUGUGUACUUCCAUGUGGAGCUUUAGAUUUGAUCCGAAUCGUACAUCUCAACGGCCACGUCGACGAAAUAACACGUCCAAUGACCGCCGGCGAGAUCCUUCAGGCGAAUCCUAACCAUGUCUUAAGCAAACCAUGUUCACAAGGGGUUGUUCGUAAGAUCUUGGUCUUGUCUCCUGAAUCUGAGCUUAAGCGUGGAUGCAUAUAUUUUCUUAUUCCGGAUACUUCCUUGCCGGAAAAGAAGAAGACAAAGAACAAAAAGGAUCAUCCACGUCGGAAAAAGCCUCUUGAAAACGCCAACAAUAUAACUAGUGAUCAUCAUACGGUAAGUAGUAUUAAUAAGGAUCUUGAUUUAACGUUGUGUGAGAAAUAUUUGGAAGAUGUUAUGUUGUCGUCGUCGGAGAAGAAUUGUUCGGCCGGUAAAGAGAAUCGUCACCGUCGGAGACAUAGUCGGUCGGCAUCGGUGUCCAUGUGGCGGCCUCACCUUGAUAGCAUCUCUGAGGAUCUUAACUAGUGUAAUUGUUUUCAUUCUUCGUCAAUGAUGUCUCUAUUUUCUUUAUUUUUUUUAUUUUCAGAUCCGGAAGUCGGAUUUUAUUAACAUCCCCGGAGACAAUAUUUUCAUUUUCUUAAUUUAUUUUGGGAUGAAGUUAAAAACAAAACUUUGUAAUGUACGACUGUGGAUAAGAUCUAUGUUAAAUUGAAAAUCUAGUUUCGGUCGUCCGUAACGCUGAGGACAAGAUCAUUUGAUCAUUAAUUUCUAAGACUAUAAAUAUGUAAUUGGAUCUUAAGACAGGAAACGAAUAUUGUACUAUUACAACUAAGAAUGAAAUUCUAAAAUAUAAAACAAUUUUCAUUAACCAAAUAGUUAUACGCAAUGGUAAAAUCAUGUGUGGGUAACAAAAUCAAUAAUUUGCUACCUCUGUUCCAGAAAGAUGAAUUUCUUAGACUUGACCAAAAUAUAUUUUCAACAACAGAAGAAAUAUUUUGGUUAAUUAAUAGUGAAAGAGAUAGAAAUUUAAGGAAAACUAAACUGAUUAAUGAAUCAUAGUACUGACUAAUUAGUUCAGUUAUAGUUUCGACGACUAUAUUUAACCUGUGGUCAUUAUACUAUCGAAAUAAAUAAAGCAUUGUAAGAACUGCAUGUUCAACUGUAAUGCAACGUACUUAGACCAGUUGGUUUAAGUUUAUACGUUCGGUGAGUAUAAAUAUUAUUUUGACAUCUUAACAAUGCGAACUCAAGACGGCUAAUUAAAGGUUUAAAGAAAGAGUGGAGCAAUCAUGCAGAUUGUCACAUGUAGAUGUAGCCAUGUAGGUGGACCAAUCGAAGCCUUUGAAGCUGAAAACAAACCAUAUGGUUCAAAUAAAUAUAGUAUUUAAUCAUAUAAAGUGCAAGAAACUUAAUACUAUUUACUAUAUAUGGAUAAAUUAACAAAGACCUCCAUGAUUUUACAUGUGAAACCCAUAAAAAUGAAAAACAAAAACCCUCAAGAUGUUGUGCCCCUUUUCUGUUAAUGCUUUUUCCAUCAAAAGAAAUUGGCAAACUGUUGAGACAAAAUUACAACUUAAAAAACGAAAAAUGUAUGCGAUUUUUGAAAUAAUAUGUUGUUAAAUUCCUACUGAGUAUUGAUUUAAAUUGAAAAAUAAUAAAAUGUUUUUAGUCAUUUCUAUUUGCGAUUUAAAUAAUAUUUUGCUUAAAAUUGAGAUUUAAAUUAAUUGUCUUUCUAUAUAUAUUUUUUUGUUAAAGAUCUUUCUAUUUAUUUAUAUACAUGUAAACCAAAUCAUAGUAGUUUGUUAUGUAGAUUGUGGAUAGAAAAUGAUUUGCAGUGGAUAAAAAUUCAGAGUUGUUGCAAGAUUUAGGUAUACUAAAUUAAAUUUCAAAAUAAUGGCCUCUUCAGUAUAUAUACCUUUUGCAUCUUUAGAAAUAUGCUAUAUUAAGAUGUACCAAUAUAUAUCACUGAUUACUCUAACUGAGAUUUAGAGAUUUAUUUUCCUCAAUCCGAGAAUUUAUAAGAUCAAAAGAAUAGGGAAUGAUUGCAAGGAACUUUUUUCUCCUUGCCAACAUGAUUCUGAGGAACUCAACGGUAAUGACUUGGUAAAACAAUUUGAAUUUAUAAUCAAAUUCAAUUUAAUAUGAUGGAUUCUUUAGAAAUAUGUUAUUUUGAACUUGCAACAGCUAUCUGUAUUAUCUAUAUAUAUAUAUAUAUGAAAUAAACUUACAUUAGGAGAUAGUUACAUAUAUAAGUAAAAAAAUCGAAAAUAGUUUAAAUCUUUAAAAAGAAAAUAGAAAAUAAUGAAAAAGGAAAAAGAAAGCUGGCGAGGGCAUCUGAUUCGGCUGCCUUCCACAUGGAUUCCAUCCUUUAUGUCCCGUCUCUCCUAAACACCUAUCUUUUUUGUUUCUCACAACCAUUUUUUAUAGAAAUUAUUAAACUUAAAUACUAGUAUUAUUCUUCUUUCUUAUUUUAUUUUUGUUUAGCAUCCUUUUUCAGUUACAAUUGCUAGUUUUUGUUACGUAUUAGACUAUGUACAAUGGUUUUAAGAUUCAACACCAUCCACUUCAUGUCAUAUUCUCUUUUUUAUACAUCAUCAUUCAACACACAUUCAAUUUUUAUCCACUACAAUGGUCUUGUUGAAUAAAAUUUAACACUCUAUUUUAUUAAUUAAUAAUUAUUUUUUUCUAUAUCCAAAUUAAAUAAACCUAUUCUCUAUUUAUAGAUAAUUUAAAAUGAUAAAUUUUAAUAUAAGAAAUAAAAAUAAAUUAUUUAAUUUAUAAUGAAAUUAAUUAGUUUUAAAUAACUAAGAGAAUAUCAAAAUAUCAAAAAUCUUUAGAAAGUGACAUUUGUCGUCGGUGGUCCCCACUUUCUUCUAAUUCAACAUGUUGAAUCUUUUCAACAACAAUUAAUCCACAUCAUCAAAUUUCAUUUUUCAACACCCUCAUUGUAGGGAUUCAACUGUUGAAUCUUUUAUUCAACACCCCCAUUGUACAUAGUUUUAGAACUUAAAUCGGCACGCAAACACCUGAACAGAGUAACAUGUUGUAUUUGUUAAGAGCAUCUCCAAUAGAUGGACUUCAUUUCUAUCUUUAAAAGUUCACUUUCUUCAAAAUAAAGAAAACACUGAAGUAACAUUCACUAUGAUGGAUUCCUUCAUUUUUUUCUUGUAAAAAGAACAUUCCAAAUAUAUUUUAUCUCUAUUUUAUCAUAAAUUACAAAUAAAAUUUUAUACUUUUUCAUAUUUACAAAUUGUAUCUAGCUAUUUUGUUUUAAAAAUAAUCCAACAUAAUUAUUAUUUCAUACAAUUAAAAAUUAUCAUAUAAUAAAUUUGUUACACAACAUGAAUAAACAAACACAAAACAUCAUAAUUUGGAAAAAGACCAUAUAUAUAAUUUUUCUAUAAGUGAUUAACAAAAUUGUUUAGAAGUAAGAGAUGAACUUAUUUAUCUUAGAUUUUUUCUAAUCGAGUUGAAAAUUCUUACAAAUGAAUAUUCAUAUGCUUUUUGAUAUAUACAUUUGAUUAAAUGAAAUUAAUAGUCAAAAAUUAAAAUUAAUUGGAUAAUAUUAACGUAUAUAAUUUAUUUUGGAAAAAUAUAAGAAUAAGUAAAAGUUAAGGACCAAUUUACAAUUUAAAAAAUUUCAUUUUCAAAAAAUAAAAUGCACAGUAGAUCUUCAAAUUUGAAAUAACACUGUUCACUGUUUCAUUUUGAAGCAAUAUAUAAAGUAGAGUUGAAAAAAACUUACUUCAAAAUGAAGCAAAAAUGAAAAAAAAUGAAAAUGAAGUGAAGCCGGAGAUGGUCUGAGAAUUGUUUUGAAAGUUUUUUUGUUCUUUGGUAGAGCGUUUCGAGAGCUUUUAACAUUAAUAAAAGAAAGUGUGUUUUGUCUUGAAGUAUAGUGAUAGAAAAUCUAGAUGAUUGUAAUAUUGUGCCAUUUCUACUAAAUUCUACAUUCAGAAGUUAUAUAUUUAUGAGAAUAUGAGUGACAUAAAAAUAUAUAUACAUAAUAAAUUACGAUAAAGAAUGCAUCUUUGAUAUAAAAAAUGAAUGCAUUUAAAAUAUGCGACUAAAUUGUGAUAAAAUAUGAUGUGAAACUUUACAAAAUAAAUACCUAGGAUAAAGUUAUGAUGGUGUCAAAGCCUAGUCCAACAAAAACAAAUUAACCAAUUCUUAUGGAUAUUGUUGUUCAUGAUCAUUGGAGUGACCUCUCUCAUAGGUCAUUAAGGGAUCUGCUCCGACUACUUAUAUAAGUGAUUAGAAGUGCAUGAUAUAUGUUUUUAAAUGGUGCAGUAUCUUACUAAUGUAUAAUAAAACAUAUAUGUCUAUGAAUUAUGGUUUUAAGUUACAGAAUAGAUGAUGGAAGCGAGUAUUUAAGUUCUGCCUAGACUCGAUGGUCCAUAUUAAUUAAGAUGAUUUUUAUGGUGUUUAUGUGCGAUAUGAAAGAAAAAACAACUAUGAAUUCGAGGAUUCGAGUGAAACUAUUUUCUCAAUAAACUGUUUUAUGCAAUUAACUUACCGCUAAAAAUUUACUAACAUAAAACUAAAAAAUAAAGGAAAAAAAAUAGAAACUACAAUUACAACACAUGACAUGUCUAGCGUCUUUAUUUUUAAGGCUCAACUCAAGAUUCCAAAUACAUCUACUUCUAAGAGAUAAGUAAAUAUCUAUAGUUAUGAACUUAUUAGAAAGAAAUGUUACAAAAAUCAAGAUUAAGUCACUUGAUUACACUAACUUUUGUCGAGAUCAAUGGUAGUGAAACCUUCUUCAACAGAGAAUCGUUCUUGUUGUUUUGUAUCUCCACUCUUUUGAUCCUCGACAGGCAAUUUAUAACUAUCGUCCAUGGCCAGUGCAUCCCCUUGCUGCUGAUGAACAACGAGUACAGAGAAAUGGAAUUCAGGGGCCGUCAACAUAUCUCCAAUCACGCCUAACUCUGGGCACUCACUCCAAUCUGUAAGUCCGUACAAGACCGAAGACUCUAGGUCAUGGUUUCGGCCCACAAAAAUCAUGUCAUAAGCAUCUCCAAGUGAGCUAAUCGCUUGCGUGGUCUCCACGCCAUCUUUCACUAUCUCCUCUAUGUAAUGUACAUUCCCUUUAUUCGCUGCUGCAUGGCUUUUGAAAUCGUUUAUUAGAUUGUACUCAGCCAUUUCGCUGUAAUCCUCGUGCUGAAGGGAGCUUUUGUGACGGAAAUGUAUCACUGUGACGUUAAGCUCCGGUUUUUCAGUCAUCCUCAUACAUAAUGCGAGCGCCUCCGCGUCGUCCCGGCCUCCGAUGAAGAGCACCGCCACGUUUUUCCAUGUACUGGUCAUCAAGACGGAGCGUCGUCCCUUGCACUCCCCUCGGUCUAUGAAUAUGGCGACCGAACAUGGUGCCGCUUCAAGGACGUUAAGGUUGAUGUUCCUGAUGGGCCCGUUGACUUGUCCGACCGUCCCGUCGAUCGCGUAUUGCUUGUGGAAUGGAAUCACGAUUAGUGUCGCCUUCUUGUCAAGUGCGAGCGUGCAUACGUCGUUGUUUAUACUCGAGAAAGGCGCGGCUGCGGUGAAAUGUUGCGCCAUGAGUGUACCCUGAUGCAUCAUACGUUUAAGAUAAUAAAUGGGUAACGUUUCCAAGUUAUAUUUUAUCUAUAACAAAUUUUAGAAUACAAUUCAGAUAUUUUUUUGGAAAAAAAAAACUGUUUAGGUUUUUAUAUCUCUUUACGUUUAUAUUUUAGAAUGAUAUUUUCCAAAUUUUGUUGAUUAAGUAUAUUAGGCAAAAAAAGGUUGUUAGUUGGAAAUGUAAACGCCAAACGCAAAACGAACCAAAUCGUACACUUAAACGCCAAAUGAAUUAAUAUCUUCAAGUAUAUAUUUCACGCAUUGUUUGUGCUUAUUGUAAACGUAAACACUAGAUGUAAAACGAACCCAAUCGUUCACUUAGACUUUUACAUUGGCUCUUUGCACUUUUAAAUGUUUGUUUUUGUAUUUGCAUUUAGGUCUAUAUAUAUUUUUUGAACUAAGGUCUAUAUCUUUAGUGUGUACAUUUCUCAAAUGGACUUAUAACCUUCAACAUUUAGUAAACUGAUUUUGUCAAUUUAAAACCAAUCGUAUAUUUUACUUAUGUUUGUUUAUGUCUGCACUUUAUAAAAUCAUUUUUGAAAAUUUGAAAAAGGUUUUAUAGAAAUUUUAAAUUUGUUUUUCUUGUACACGCAGACAAAAUAAAAGAAAAGAAAUUCUGUUUAUAAUUUACCUGAUACUUUUGCUCAAACCGUUGGAGGGCACUGACAAUGUAUGUGGACUGGGCCGUGUUUGGGUCAAGUUUGUUCAUCUGGUGGUGUGGCGUGAGGACUGCGUGAGAUCGUCCUUUAAGCUCCACAAGGUGCAGCGUGAAAAAUGAGAUGGGAUUAAAUCUUGUCGGGUAUGUAGCUUCUAAAAGGUUCACCAUGGAAGGAACGUUUUCGACGUUGUACAUGCAAAGAAGAAGACGGAGCUGAAGAUUGCGUUCCCUCGUGUUGAGGAUCGUUCGUUUGCUUCUGCAUUUGUAGCGUUUCGAUGGAUCGUAGAGGUACACCACGAGGUACCGCGAAAUUCCGGUUACAAGUAAAAGCGUUACUAUCACUAGAUUAAAGCAUUCUGUAUCAACAACCUGUAAACAGAAACAUUUUAUAAGAAGUCAACUUCCUAUUCUAUUUUUUGGAUUACCAGCACCCAAAAGAUCUACUAAGAAAAUAAGAAAAAUGAGUUGAAAACCUAGUCCCCUACACCCAAAACCACUUCAUUUAAAAUUAGUUUCGUUGUAAAGUUAUUCAAUUAACUAGCCUCUAGUAUUUAGUUAUGAUGCUUUAUAAACAAAAUUUUAUGAGAACAAAUCUUAAUUUAGGUAUUGGGAUUAUGAAGAGAUUAGCAAUGUACUUCAAUCCCUAAAAAAAUGUACACAAUACAAACUUUCACAUCGAAAUUUCAGAUGAGACAUAAAUAAUAUAUAUAUAUACAUCUAUUUGAAAUUUUAUAUUCAGUAUUAUAAGUAUAUUGGUCAAAAUCCAUAUUAAAAAGUGUGGAUCUAUGUACUAAACAUUUUAGCACUAACCUAACUACUAAAAAGGUUUAGUACAUCGAUCAACACUUUUAUAAUCCAGACUUAAACCAAUACACUUAUUGGUAAUUGGUUUUGAGUUGAAAAUCCAAAAAAAAUAUAGAUUAAGCAUAAUCCUAGGGUAUGAAAAACAAAACAGUGACCAAUCCAUUUUUGAGACACUAAGCAUCAUAUUAUUCAAUUUUAUAUUCCAAAUUAAUCAAAACCAAAGUAACCAACGUCUAUAUUUUGUACCUGAGCGUCUUUCCACACGACAAUAGCGUAGACUUCGAUGAUACCUUGGCAACACAUCAAGAACGCCAAACAAAGCGCGUCUCCAAUCUGCGUUUGGCAGUAAGCAGACGCAGCCGUUGUUCCAAGGAACUUGCAGCCGUAAGUGACCAAGAGAAUCACUUCAAUCAACACCACAUGGUUCUCAUGGCUCUCCGUGAUCUCAAAGAAAUUAGUCUGUAACCCACUAAUAGCUAUAAAACACGGGAGAAGCAUAUUCGAAGCAACCAGCUCAAGUUUCAUAGCAAGUUCCGUCCCCAAAGGCGGACCGUCAGGGAGCGAAACGCCUAGCCAAAACGCUCCAAACGCAGCGUGGACACCCAUGGCCUCUGCACUAGUACUAGCUAUAGCCAAGAUCAAGAGGACCGGGAAGAACGGGACAAUAUCUUUUUUGUUCAUCGACUUGCUUUUCCUCUCGGUGAGGUAAAUGAUCAAAGGUCUAAAGACUCCUACAAUGACCCCAAUAAGACCUCCGAUCAUUACAAUCCCCCAAACGCCUUUUAUGGUUCUCUCUCGCGUGUAGAGGUUAAACGCUAAAGCCACGAACCAGCUACAAGCUUCGCAGACCAUUGAGCAGUUGGUGGCUAACCGUCCUAGCUCUGAGUUGAGGAUGUUGAGUUCCGUUAAGACCGUCGUUGUUACCGGAAAGGAUGUCAUGGAGCACAAGAAGAUCACCGUGCUUGCGCAGUGAAACACGUCUCUGUGAAGUCCCACGGUAGUAUUAAUGAAGAAGACCGUGAGGUGUCCGAGAGAGAAUGGGAAGGCGUAUGAGGCUGUACCGAUAAGUAUUGCCUUGGAACUUGCUUUUUUGAUAAUACUCGCAUCGAUUUUGAGUCCAAGGAUGAAGAGAUGGAUAAUGAAACCGACGUUUGAUAGCGUUUGGAUUGUGAUCUUGCCUCCAGCGGGCAGGAACAUGUUCAUGUAUGUCACGUUAUGUCCUAAGAAAGACGGUCCAAGAACAAUACCAGCCUAUAUGUAAAAUUUAACAGAAUAUGAUACACAUCUUGCGGCCCAAUAUAUCUCUAAUACUAUACAAUAACAUUUCAAAACGUUUUAUUUUAUUGCAAAAACAAUAUGUUCAGACAAUGAAAGCAAUAUCUAGAAAGCUAUACCAAGACUUGAGCGGAGAUCAUUCCUUGUUUAAAAGGUUGGAGGAAGCGGAAGAUAAGCCUAGAGGUGAUGAUGAUGACUGACAUUUGAAGGAAGAGAAGAGGCGUUGCGUAUUUGAGAGGGUUACUGUUCUUGAAAAUACCCUUUGAGAUCAUCAUGUUUUGAUUUUGGCACACUAGAUCCUCCAUCAUGAAUGGACCGUGCACUUUGCCCCAAUGUGAUGAGUUGAUCUGUUUGCUGCCAAACUUCGACCAAUCCAUGGUCUUUUCUUAGAGAGAAUGAGAGAGAAAUAGGCUUGGGGUUAAACUAUGAAGGCUAUGUUUUCAUUUCUAAGGAGGAAAAUGUAAUGGCUGAUGCAUUGAGAAUGAGAGUGCAAUGUGAACAUAAGGAGAUAGAGAAGAAAACAGAGGACUCUGUGUUUACUUGGGUUGGUAAAGGUUUACUUAAUCCAACAUGUUGGUAAGGUAAAAGAAACAAGACCAGAGAAAGAGAGAUAGGUAUGUGAGACAAGAGAAGAAAGAUUAGCCUAUUUUUGUUUCUUUCUAUUUUUGUUUGGUUGAUGUUCUUUGUGCAUAAUCUCCACCGUUCUAAACUUGUGGUAUUGGUUUCACUUUUAAGUUCUAAUAAUAAUUUUAAAAACUGGGGUGUAAACAAUAACCUGCAAAAUGGACUAUAUAACAUUAUUAUUUUCAAUCUUGAAUGUCAAAUAUACAACAAUCAAGCAAAAGACCAAACACAAGAAACUAUAAUAGAAUCUCAAGUGUUAACAAGUCGAACAUAUGUAUAGUGAGGUUCUCUAAGGCCAAGAAGAUAUAUAAAAAACAACUGCUAAUCAGUAAUCACCACUCUGACAACACAAAGUACUGACUGUGUUACAAACAAAUAAACAAACUAUAAUGAGCACAAAAGACAGCCAUAGUAAGACUUAUUUUCCAAACCCUAAAUGAUAUUACUAGUAACUUCAGCCCCAAGAAUGUUUUGUUUUCAUGAGCGACGUGGCGCGGUUGGGACAUCAUGAUUGUGCCUUCCUUCAUAGGUAGUGAGAACCGCUCUCUCGUCUUCUGCUGAUCUUUCCACUUGCUUCCUCACUCCACAGCCUUGGUAUGUGCACUUGUAAUAGCUCCUGUCAUAAUAACCAAAGAGGGUUAGGAACAUAAAAACAACUUUAAUGAGAAGAAAUUAGUUAAAAGAGUUGUAAUAAUAACCUUGGGUUAGUAUUCCCCUUGACAACUUUUUGACCAUACUUCCUCCAUCUAAAGCCAUCUAUAAGAACAUCAAUCUCACUUAUUGUCUGAACAACAACUCUUGGUUCCUUCACUCCUCUGCUUACUUCUACAGACAUCCCUUCAUCUUCACCUUCUCUUUUCCUAUCACACAAAAAAACGUCAUUUUCUUAAUUUCUUAAAAACAUAUUAAGUUUCCAUUAACUUAAAUUAAAAAAAAAACUACUUACAGUCUCUUAAUGUCAAGCUGUUCCUUCUCUUCAUCUACCUCCCCAUAAUCAAACGAGAUCGAUGAACUCUCUGAUUGUUCACUAACAACAGAAGAAGGAUUAAACAUUCUUCUCGCUGAUGAUGAUGGUCUCUUGGUGAACUCAGGCUUAGGAUGGUUAUGACCACCUUUGUAGAUGAUCUCAGUGAUCUGACCAUCAGAAGCAGUCUCAACGAUCUUCUUGGAAACGCAGUUGGGAUACGUGCACUUGAAGUAACUCCUAGGGUUCUCGCUCUUCUUCACUUGCUUCUGCCCGUACUUUCUCCAACCGUAACCGUCGUUAGAGUUCCUACUCACCAUGUACGAUGGUACCUUACCCUCACGAGGAACCGGAUCCUCCAGCUUCUUCUGGAGAUCUUGAACACCAUAUGUCUCUUGCAAAGCCUGUAAAACGAAACAAGUUUGGUUCAGUACAAAGGAAACUGUACAUGUCACUGAAACGCUAAGGGGAAGACACAUACGGAAGCAGCGUUUUGCGGUUGCGUUUGCGUUUGCGAUGGUAACUGCCAGGGAAAAUCUGAUCCGUUGAAGCCUUGAAAUGGAAACGCUCCGGUCGUUGGAGAUAUCAAACUCUGCAAGUAACAAUACAGAACAUCACUAAGAGAGCUUAAAUAGAUGAAAUGAUUGAAGAAAGAUGGAAGCUUUAUACAUGUGAGGAGCUGCGGAGAAGAGGAGAGUCAAGCAACUCGGAGAAGGCGAAGCUGCGAGAAGAUUGCGAGAUCGGAAGAGGAGGCGGUUGAGCCGUCUUGAACUUAGGUAAACCCGACCCGGUUUCCUCCGGGUAAAACCCACCAAGAAAGUCUUCGUCUUGUUCGUAGGGGUCAACGCCGGAGGAAGCAAGGAGGUCGGUGAAAGAGGUGGAAGACAUGGUUUUGGUAAAAGGAGACAACUUUAGAGCUCACAGGAGCAAAAAGAAAGAAAAAGAAACGAACUUUAAUGUUGUCAGAGAAAUGAUCUGUGAGAAGAGAUAAAGAUGUGGAAGACGACGACGGUGGCGUAACGAGCAAGGUUUGUUUAUCUUUUUACAUUUUGUCUUUUUCUGCUUGUCCUAAAUAAAAAUUUUUGUUUUAAUAUUGAUAUAAAUGGUUGACCAAUGGCAAUGAGAUAUUAUUAUUUUUUAGUUGGGUCGUCGCCUAGACUGUGUGUGAAACCGCGUGUUAAUUGUCAUUUUUGUCGUCGGCGGUGAUUAAGACCAGUUAUUUUGUAUAAGCACUAUACGAAGAUGAAUAAACAAGACAAAAAAUAGUGAAAAAUGAAUAUAGAGAAAUGCCUUAAGAUAGCACCAAAUUUUAAAAUAAAUAUUUUAAAAAUAAUAGUUAUAUUAAAUGCAUUAUCUUUUAAAAGUAGCUUUGUUUUUUUUGCCUUUUCUAAUAAAUGUUAUUUUAGUCAUUUUUAUUUAUUAUUUUUGUAUAAAAACUAGAUUCUGUAUUUUUGGAGAAUUGUCCAUGAAUAUGUAAAACCAAUUAUGAAAAUGAAAUGAAUAUUUUUGUUUAAUAACUCUUUUACCUCUUAUAUUACUUGUUAUAAAAGACAUCUACCAAGUUUUGGUUAGUUUUAUUUUAAACACUUUUGACUCACAGCCGAAGACGACUUAUUCUUAGGUCCACCCCCUAGGGUGAACCUCUAGGUUCACCAACCAAUAGGAUUCUUUUAUUUUAUAUUCGAUAUCUUUUAAAAAAGGAAACAAAAUAUUGUCAAAUUAUAUUAUGUUUUUAAAAUUAAAAAGUAAAAAAAAAUAGUAAUACUUACAAAAAAAAAUAUUUUACGUCGUCAGCAUAACAUUAAACCCUAAACCCUUAAUCCUAAACCCUAAACCCUUGGAUAAACCCUAAACUCUAAGAUGAAUCCAAAACUCUAAAUCAAAAUCACUAUACACUAAAACAUUCAAGCGUUUAGGGUUUUAGUGUUUUUUAUUUAGAGUUUACGAUUUAUCUAAGGGUUUAGGGUUUACCCAAGGGUUUAGGGUUUACCCAAGGGUUUAGGAUUUACCCAAGGGUUUAGGAUUUACCCUAGGGUUUAGGGUUUAUCCAAGGGUUUAGGGUUUAGGAUUUAGGGUUUAGGGAUUAGGAUUUAGGGUUUAGUAUUUUGUUGAGAACAUUAAAAAUAUUUUUUUUUAAUUUUUUUUUCUGUAACUAUUAUCUUUUUUUAUUUUAAAAACAUAAUAUAAUUUGAGAAUAUUUUGUUUCCUUUUUUAAAAGAUAUCGAAUUUGAAAUAAUGAAAUCCUAUUGGUUGGUGAACCUAGAGGUUCACCCUAGGGAGUGAACCCAAGAAUGACUCGCCGAAGACUAUAGCUUCUUGUCAUAUCAUCAUUAAUUUGCUACAAUAAAAACACCGGUAAGAGUAUAGUCUCCGGUAAGAAUAUAGUUCUUGACCCCAACUAAAUGUAGUCUAGUAUUAACUUCUUUCUUGACUUUCGGUUUCUAGGACACAAUAGAGUAUAGUAUGACCAUGGAACAACAGCACCAAUCAUAUAAAGACUCUCUAAGGAGAGGCAAGAAACUAGCCAGCAACUUCUGG